rnacentral:lncRNA from 1 species
AGGAUCAGCCAUAAUGAUGUGAUCAUGCAGAAACCAUGGUUUUCUUAAGCGAGCGUCGGGCUAAAAAUGUUGGGAGAAGUCUAGGCAAGCAUUCAUGCUCUGAAUGAAGCCCACGCCUUUUUAAUCCGACCCACUUCAUGAAGCCAUGAAGCAAUUGAUGUAGAAGAGUUUGCGAGAGCCACAGUGCUAUACUUACGCAAGGGCUAGGGCCCUCUUCCUUUAUCCCGAUGCUCACUUAAGAAACAUGUUUUCUACCUCAGACCUUUUACUGAGCCAUCAUAUCCUUUUCUUUCAGAAACAAUUAUCGAUAAAAAAGGUUAACUGAAUAAAAGUCUGCAAUUAAAGUUCCUAACUCUAUUGCAUGCAAGGUUCGUUCAUGAAAACACCAGGUGUCCACAGCAAAUUUGACUGUGCAUGUGUAUGCUACAUGUGUAGAUAGUUAGAAUUACUUGUCUCUACUCAAACACAGAUACUACGAGUACAGUGCUUUUAUCCAGCGACUGUAUCGUGCAAGAACAAAAACUAACAGAUACUACGAGUACUGAACAAUAACGCUUCCUCGCAUAGACAGUUUAACAGCCAUCUUCGCUAUAUUUCAAACCAUAAGAAGUUACUCAACAAGGCUAAAUCCCCAUUAAAAUUACUCGAACGACAGAUGAAAACAGUAAUCAAGAUUCAGAUUGAUACGGUCUGCAACAAAUACAACGGGCAUCAUUUCAGAAUUCAGAUAAGAAUUAUGGAUAAGAACUCAAGGCAUUCUUAGUCGUCGAGGUGAGGCCUCAUGAGUCAGCAGCGGGCACCGCCAUUUCUGCUCCACAGUUGCAAAGAAACAACACGAGUGCCAAUUCGGAGCAAGAACUACGAAACCAGAUGACAAACAAAUUGCAAAGAAACAACACGAUUGUCGAUUCGGAGCAAGAACCACGAAACCAAAUGACAAUUAGCUACGAGCCUACGCGACGCUCUGUACCUUUGGAAACUCACAGAACCUACCCAAGGAGACUAUGACGAUGAGAGGAGGAAGAACGGCGCGACGGCGGCGGAGGGCAUCGACGAGAAACAGAUGGAAACCCUACGACCCUCCGCAAUGCUAAAGCUGUGGGCUUUAAUAGUACCAGCUCGAAGCAACUCAAGACCUACCAGCCCAUGUGCAUAGUUGGUCCCAUUUCGUUAGCAGGCUAUUUGCCAAUACUAUUUCGACCUAGGCCCAGCUAGCCGUUUGGAACGGUCCACGAAUGUUAGCGCAGUGUGGCGACCGCAGUCCGCAGCCGAGGUGAGCCAUGUCGGCGGCCGCCGUCCUGUGCCGCCUCGGCCUCCGCCUCCGCCGCCUCUCCACGCUCUCCGAACUCCCCGCGGUCGCGGCGGGAGCGCCGCAGCCGCAGCACCCGACCUCGAAGGACGCCUACUUCGCGGCGGUGCACCACCUCUCCACCAUCGUGCGGCGGGACUUCUACCUGGAGCGCACCCUGAACCGCCUCCGCCUCCCGUCCCCGUUCCCCACCGACCUAGCGCUCCGCGUCAUCCGCGCCGCCGCCCCCGCCGCGCCGCUCCACGCCACGCGCUUCCUUUCCUGGCUCCGCGCCAAGCCGUCCUUCGCCGCCUCAGCCGAGCACUUCGACGCGCUGCUCCUCCCACUCGCGCGCGCGCGGCUCUUCCCCCACCUCUGGUCCCUCGCCUCCGACAUGCGAGGCCUCGGCCUCCCCCUCUCGCCGACCACCUUCUCCGCGGUCAUCUCGUCCUACGGCCACUCCCGCCUCCCCGACCAGGCCGUCGAGGUGUUCAAUCGCCUCCCUCGAUUUGGCUGCCCGCAGACCACCGAGGUCUACAACGCCCUCCUCGACGCGCUCUGCGCCAACGGCAACUUCACCGGCGCCUACAAGCUGCUCCGCAGGAUGGCGCGCAAGGGCGUUGCACCCGACCGCGCCACGUUCAGCACCCUCGUUGACUCCUGGUGCGCGGCGGGGAAGCUCCAGGAGGCGCAGGCGUUCCUCGAUGACAUGGCGGGCCGCGGGCUCCGCCCACCGGUGCGCGGCCGUGACCUCCUCGUCGACGGGCUCGUUCGCGCUGGGCAUCUGGAGCAGGCCAAGGCCUUUGCCCUCCGUAUGACCAAGGAAGGCAUCCUCCCCGACGUUGCUACAUUCAACUCCCUUGCCGAGGCGCUUUGCAAUGCUGGAGACGUGGACUUCGCCGUGUCUCUUCUUGCUGAUGCUUCCAGUCGAGGCCUGUGUCCAGACAUCUCAACAUACAAGGUGAUGCUACCGGCUGUGGCCAAGGUUGGCAAAAUUGAGGAGGCAUUCCGGCUGUUCUAUGCGGCUGUUGAGGAUGGCCAUCGUCCAUUCCCGAGUCUAUAUGCGGCAAUCAUCAAGGCGCUUUGUAAGGCAGGACGCUUUGCAGAUGCUUUCGCUUUCUUUGGUGAUAUGAAGACGAAGGGGCAUCCACCGAAUCGCCCUGUGUAUGUGAUGCUUGUCAAAAUGUGCGUGAGGGGCGGUCGGUUUGUGGAAGCUGCAAACUACCUCGUUGAGAUGAGUGAGGCAGGGUUCACACCCCGGGCACCGACCUUUAGUGCUGUAGUUGAUGGCCUUCGACAUUGUGGGAAGCAUGACCUUGCCCGGAGAUUGGAACAGCUUGAGGUGUCCCUGAAGGGAAAUUAGAUAGGGUUUGGUUCUGGAGUUAGUUAGGAUGGAACAACUCUUCAGGAGCAGCUUCGUUCGAGGAUUUUGGGAAGCAUAAUUUUCUAUUUUUAGAACCACUCGAUUUUAUAUGAAAUCAUCCAAACAAAAAUAAAUUAGGAGCAUAAGGGCUCAAUUUUACCAUAUUUCGGAACCAAACACUAUCUUAAGAUAACGUUUAGUUCCGAAGUAUGGUGGGACAGAGCCAUUUCACUCUCAGUUUAUUGUUGUUUGGAUUGGUUCCACGUACGAUGGAGUGAUUCUAAAAAUGAAAAAAUAUGUUCAUUCCCAAAAUCUUCUGGACAGAGCCGCUUCCGGGGACGGAGCUGUUGUAUCCCAAGUGACUAUGGAAGCAAACGCUAUCUAAAUAGAUGGGGAACUAGAUGCGGUUUUCUCUUCCAGUUUGGACCUUGCAAGCUGUGUGGUGCUGCUACUAGAUUUUCAGGUAGAAAUGACACUUAUAUUUCUUCUUCGUGUAAAUUUAAUCUCGUCAUAAGCCAGUAAAAUCUGCUGUUUUGUUGUGCCUAACAAGAUUUACCAACUUUUCAAGUGUCCAAAAUAAGAUUGAUGGAUUGUUAUUUUUUUAAUCUGUGAUUUGAUCGUCAAUUCUGUGGUUAAAUAAUGUACACUUUUCGUUAAUGAAUUCACAGUUGAGUUGUGCACUGAAAGUUAUCAUGGUCAAAAGAAGUAAGUACAGUAAGUUCAAUCCGUGAUUGUGCUAAAUGGAUUUAUGUACUGUUGAUUGUCCCCAUUGAUGCUCAAUAAUGUGGAAGAAAUACUCAGAAUAUUUUGAUUGAAUACCAACUUUAGGAGGCAAGUUACCUUUGUUGUAUAGCUCAGUAGCUCACUGUUGCUGUUUAAACCACUGAUACGUUUGCCAAUUAACUGUCUUAAAAUUACGUUGCUUUUACUCGUUAUUUUUCAUCUAAAAAUUUGUCUCUCCUGUAAACCUUACUUUCUUAAGUUCCUAUGGUGAUAAAACCAUAUACAUCAAACUCUGUUAAUUUACAAUUUUACCCUAGGACAGUAGAAGGCAAACGGGAAAUGAAGUGACAAUUCUUUUAGCAGCUAGAUGCUUGGGUGUUUUUUUUUCUACUAAGGCUCUUUUGAAUGUAGAGCUAAUAUUUAAAAGCUAAAAUUAGCUGGAGAUAUUCAAAUAACUUAGCUAAUAGUUGGGCUAUUAGCUGGAGACAUCCAAACACUUUCAGCCAAUAGUGCAGCUAACUAUUAGCUACAUCGUCAACUACACAUUAGUUUAUUGGUUGGUUCAAACCAGCUAAAAUCAGCUAAUAGUUAGUCAGCUAAUUCCACUAGUAAUUUUUUAGUCAAUUAACUAUUAGCUCUAGUGUAAAUAGAGCUUAGAAUGAUUGAAUGAAAGAAUGACAUCAGUCGGGUAAAGAAGGAACUUGUCUACAUGUACUACUACAUUGUGCAGUAUGUACAUAUGGCACAUCUAAAUUGCUGGGAUUGUCUAGUUUUGUUCUAAAUUACUAAAUACAGAGACUAAAAAAAAUUGUUUCUAUUUUUUAGUCUUUGUCUUUAGUAAUUUAUGGAAUAAACGGGCUAAAAAUGCAAGGACUAAAAAAUCUCUAGAAUUAGAACCCUAUUUUCCUAACGUCCUGUUUGUGUCAUUGGAAUUGAAUUCCAUUCUAAUAAUAAUAAUUUAGAUAUAUAUCAAUUAAGAUAAUUCGGUUUUAUGUAAAAUAUAUUUGUAUACUAUUAUUAGCAAGAUGUCGGAGACAUUUAUGUGAUAAAUUUUUACUAUACAUGAGUGAGAUGAAGAAGAGUGGCAUGCAAGUUACAAAGUAGAAACAAAUUCUACUAAUGCAUAAAGUCAUUUCCCAUCCUCCAUCCUAUGAAUUUAAGAUAGACUUAUAUCUGAACUUUAAAAAGUGGUGGAAUGUCAAAUUCCAAACAAAAUAAGUUAAUUUAUUUAGUGAAUUCUAAUUCCUCUAAAAUAAAGGGAUCCAAACGUCCCUUAAGGGAUUUUUAUUUUUUCAAGGAAAAUUAGUUCAUUUUCUCUUAUAAAAACGAAAAUCCCCUAGAAAAAUAGGUUCUCAAACUAGCUCUAAAUAAAUAAACGUGCCUAAAUUUGUCCUACGACAGAUGUUCCCCAAAGUGAGCAUAAGGUAACACCUGAAGCUCAAAACAAUAUACCAAUGAGAUUUGUGGUUGAUGGUAGAAAAGGAUUUAUCUGUCCGGUAUAAAUGUGAGUUUUGAGUGUAGAGUACAUUGUCUUGUUAGUACUCAGGAAAAUUGUAGCACCGGUAUUUGUCUACUGGGAUUGCAAGAUUUCUGAUAAUAAUAAUAAUAAUAAUAAUAAUAAUAAUAAUAAUAAUAAUAAUAAUAAUAAUAACAACAACAACAACAACAACAACAACAGUAAUAAUAAUAGUAAUAGUAGUAGUAGUAAUAUAUAUAUAUAUAUAUAUAUAUAUAUAUAUAUAUAUAUAUAUAUAUAUAUAUAUAUAUAUGGUAGGUGUAUUAGGAGCUCUGGGCUUUCUCUAGCUAUAAAUGGUAUAUAUAUAAAAUUGUAGCACCGGUAUUUGUCGACCACUCCUGUGACCUGGUCCAGCUUGGCGCGCUCACUGCACCCACUCGCUAAGCCAGGCUAUCUCUGUGCAUGCAAAAAAAUAUAAAGGCAGGCAUGAGUCAAACCUGUUUUCUUGCACGCGCGUAAAUUUAGAAAAGAAAUAUAUGACUGUUUCUAUUUUUAAAUGUUUGAUUUCCUCCAUAAAUAUAGAAUCGCUGCAAUAGACUUGCAACUAGACUUGUCGGGACUAAUUUAUGAUAUAUAUUGAUACUAAUUAUGCUAUACAAUAUAGAUAUUUAUGCAAUUCAGUACACUACAUAAAAAUUUGUUACAUGCUGCAUGCACAAAAUUAGGACGACAAAAAUAUAUGAUGAAAUAAAAUAGAUUGGAAUGUAUGAAAAUAAAAAUUAUAUUUAAUGAUUUAUUUCCUUUAUAAAUAUAGGAUCGCUACAACAGCCAUGUAGCUAGGCUCGUCAGGAUCAGUUUAUGAUAUAUACUGAUACUAAUUAUGCUACACUGUGUAGAUAUUUAUGCAAUUCGGUACACUGCGUAAAAAUCUGUUACCUGCUGCAUGCGCACAAAAUUAGGAUGGCAAAAAUGUACGAUGAAAGAAAAUAGAUUGACAUGCAUGAAAACAAAAAAUCGUAUUUAUUGCUUUAUUUGCUUCAUAAAUAUAGGAUCGCUCCAACAGCCAUGUAACUAGACUCGUUAGAACCAGUUUAUAAUAUAUACUUAUACAAAUUAUGUUAGACGGUGUAGGUAUUUAUUCAAUGUUGUAUACUGUGUAAAAAUAUGGCACGUGGUUCACUGGUGGACGCAUCUCUAAGUUCGAGCGUAAAACUCUUAAGUUUUGAGCAUAAACCCCCUCGGUUAUAAGCGUAAAUACCGAGUCAAUGUGAGAGGUUGAUAUCUCUUUUGGGUUGUAUUCACGAUCCUAUUUUUAUGUCAGUUCCGAAAAAUAUGGGAGUCGCAUCCAUGGGGUUUCUAUUUUUCUGCAGAUCCAAAAAUUAUGGCAGAUCGUUGGAGUUUCCAUUGCAUGCGUAAAAAUUUUGGAUGAUAUUUUCGUUUCCACUGCAUGAAUGCAAAAAAAUAGGAUGACAUAGUUCACACAGAGCAUAAAUUCAUAUACAAAGUCGCAUGAAUACAUACACUGUGUAACAUAAUUGAUAAAAAAACCUAAUAUCAGUUCAACUAAGAGCCCUCGCGGGAAUUAAGGACAGUUUUAUGGCAACAUAAAAUCAUAUUCAUCGUCAUAAAAUCAUCACUGGAAUAUAUAUAAAUAGUGUAAGUAGCAUGCAUAAAACAUAAUCAUAGAUGGCAUAAACAUGGAUCGAAUAGUUCGUCGGAGGAGGACGAUCCCGAGGCCGCUAGAUCAAAGGACGUCGUCGAAGCCACCGGAUCGGAGGAGUUGGUCGUCGAAGGGCGCCAGAGCCACCCAUGCCUCGUGUGACCGCCAUCGCCAGAGACGACCGCGCCUCGCACAACCGUCGUUGCCACCAGGCCUAGGGUGCGCCGUCGCCGCCCAUCCGCUUCGGGAGCGCCGUCACCGCUUGCUCGCCUGCCUCGGAAAGCGUCGUCGUCGCUCGUUCCAGGUGGAGCGCCGCUGUCAGUCGCCCGCCUCGGGGCGGCACCACCGCUGGCCCCCAGGAUCGCCGCCGCUCGCACGCCCAAGGGAACCGCCGCCGCUGCUAAAACCUAAUCCCUGGCUGCGUUGGAGUGUUUUUAUAGCAGCCCGGACCUGGUCCGGCUCGACUAGAUUGCACCGUCUAACUUAGGCUUCCUCUAGUUAUUGAAAGUUCAGGGCUCGUAAUAUAUAUAUACUAGUUAAAUUCCCGUGUGUUGCCACGGUUUCCAUUUAUACUCAUCUUGUUGUCUAGGUGGGUGCGAAUAUGGAUUUGGAACCAAUAAUAAUGUUUGAAUCCUUUGUUUGUGCAUAAUUUGUUUUUUUACCAUUUAAAUGUGAGGAUCUGGUUGACGCACGACGCCCGUGAAAACGGUGGAAACUGGAUGUCUCUUGUACAUGAAUCACCAACAAGCUACGGAGUGCAGGACACGCAACAAAAUUUUGAUCAUGCAAAGUCAUCAUAGAGAUAAUGCAGGCAAGCAUCAAUAUUUCUAAAACAAAUCAAUUUUGCCAUUAUAUAGAAGGAUUGAGAUGAAAGAACCAUCAAAUUCUAGAGUUUUUUUGUUCACUUGCAAAUCCAAUCCAUGGUGUCUCACAUAUAUGAUGACUUUGGAAUGCUCACAGCUAACCAGGCCACGUACGUUGUUUGUAUCUUCCCUACUCAUGCCACCUGAUGUUUUUGGGGCAGCCAAAUUAGUCGUGGGUUGCUGCUAUUGCUGAAUAUGGCUGACAACAUCCUGAACAAUGUUGAUUGAGGUUUGGUACCACUGGAUCUAGAAGUUGGGCCACAUGCUUCUUUGCAGUUCACACCAUCGUCAUCCCACCAUGAAUUUGUUAAUAGUUGACAGAGGGUGUUGUUGUGUUAGACCUUAGUGUGCCAAUAAAUUUUUUAAAAUAAACAAUAGUGUGCCAGGGAUCUAGGAAUAUCAGAAGAGCCUUCUUACAAAUUUGGUAGGCAUGACAGAACCUCCUCACACACCAUUGAUGUUUGCUUGCAGCGGCAUAGAAGCGAUCAUUGCUACGCACAACAAUCUACGACCACAUAAACAAUAAGGACUAAAUACCAUGAACGCCUUGCUUGACACCCCUUGAUGGCAUUAGACCAUUGCUGGCUAUUGCAGUCACCAAAACUACCAGUAGCCUACAUUACUGAAAAACAUAAAAUUUCAAUAGAUACAAAUAAAUCAUAUCAAUAAGUGUAUUAGUACUAUGGUAAGAAAAAAGUCAACUUCUCCUUUAGUAGUUGUAAUCAAUAAGAUAUCUCAUGUAUAUUCAAAUUUUCUCCUCUCAGUUAAUUCCAGCCUGCAAGGUUGGAGUAUAGCCAAUCAUUCACUAUGAUGUCAAACAAAAUGUUUAGCUUAUGAAACAUUAGCAAUCACACAUCUGGAGAAUAUGGUGAUGUAAACAAAAAGAAAGAGAUAUUCCAUUUUAUGCUAUUCUCAACAUUAGGACACAUAUCACGGACAGAAACAAAAACUCACAAUUUAACUCAUGAAAUAGAUUGGAUAAGUUCAGCAAAUAGUUUUUUUAAGGACAAGUAUUCGUUUUAGUUCAAAAUUCAAUGAACGCAAGACACCACUUCUCUCAAGUGUGUAGCUCUGCUAAACAUUACAGUCAGUAACCAAGUAUCUCCUUAGCUAUUUAUUUAAUAAUAAAUCUGGCUUAAAGAAUAUCAAGUGAUGAGUAGAUAUUACAACAAAUCGAUCAAUGCCUCAUGUUCCUUAUUGUCGGUGUUUCGACCCGGGGGUCCCUGGACCGACGAGUAAAAUUGUCGCUGCGUGCCCCAGCCCAGAUGGGUUGGCGCGAGAUGGAACACAAGGGGGGAAAACCGCGGCUCGUGUUAUCCUGCGCCAGAGUGGGUGCGCUUGCAGUAGGGGUUACAAGCGUUCGCGAGGGAGAAAGAGAGUGUGAGCCGGUUCGUCAGCCCGUCCUCCCGCGCGACCACCCUCACGUAUGAGGGCCCUGGCCCUUCCUUUUAUAGAUGCAAGGAGAGGGUCCAGGUGUACAAUGGGGGUGUAGCAAUAUGCUAAUGUGUCCGGCAGAGAGGAGCCAGAGCCCUAUGUACAUGCCAACGUGGCUAUCGGAGAGGUGCUAGAGUCCUGUGUACGCGGUGUCAUGGCCAUCGGAGGAGCGUUUGAGCCCUGUAGAAGCACAGCUGUCGGGGCUGCUGGGACCUUGCUGACGUCUCCUUGCUUCCGUAGGGGGCUGAGAACCACCGUCGUCAUGGACGCACGCGGGGAUCCAUCAUUACUUGUUACCGGGGCGAGCCUGGAUGGGACGCCGGUCUUGUUCCCCCGUAGCCUGAGCUAGCUAGGGGUAGGGUAAUGAUGUACCCCCUGCGGCGUGGUCGGUCCGAGCCCAAGGUCGGGCGAGGCGGAGACUCCUCCUGAGGCCGAGGCCGGGGUCGGGCGAGGACGCGAUUUCUCCCGAGAUCGAGGUUGAGGCCGGGCCCUGGGUCGGGCGAGGCGGAGACCACCUUCCGAGGUCGAGGUUAAGGCCGAGCCCUGGGGUCGGGCGAGGCGGAGACCACCUUCUGAGGUCGAGGUUGAGGCCGAGCCCUAGGGUCGGGCGAGGCGGAGACCACCUUCCGAGGCCGAGGCGGGGGCCGAGCUCUAGGGUCGGGUGAGGCGGAGCUUCCUGUUGCGCCUGAGGCUGGACUCAGUUGCUGUCAGCCUCACCCUGGCGGGUGGCAUAACAGUCGGAGAGGGGCGAGCAGCGCUGUUUUCAUGUUAGGUCAGUCAGCAGGAGGGCGAAGUGACUGCGGUCACUUCGACCUUGCCGACUAAGGCACGCGUGUCAGGAUAAGGCGCCAGGAGAUCCUUGCAUUAAAUGCGCCUACGAUAUGGUCGGUUGGUGAGGCGAUUUGGCCAAGGUUGCUUCACAACGAAGCCUGCCCGAGCUGGGGUUCGGGCGAGUCGAGGGUGCGCCCGUUGCCUGAGGAGGCCCUCGGGCGAGGCAUGAAUUCGCCUGGACUACUGUUCCCGCCCGAGGCUGGGCUCGGGCGAGGUGAGAUCGCGUCCCCUGAGUAGACGAAGCCUUGACUUUAAUCGCGCCCAUCAGUCUCUGCAGCUUGUGCUGAUGGUGAUUACCAGUCGAGUUUAGGAGUGUUGGGGGUACCCCUAAUUAUGGUACUCGACACUUAUAUAUGCAUUUUUUAUAAUAUAUCUUUCUUAAACCUCCUAUGAAGAGAUUGGCUGAUUUACUAACUUUAUACAAAGGCUGCAAUAGCCUUAGAGAAGGCCAUCAGCCAGGAUCAUCGUCAAGUUAUUAAGUGAGCAAGUGAGCCUCAGCAAAGAGGGUUUCUUAGGCAAGCUUGGCUUGCUGCUGGGACCAGUAGACCUAGGUCGCCAGGACCCAGUCGAGCAGCUCCUAAAGCACCGGCUCGCCAAGUCGCUGUUGCAGCGAGAUGCUCGCUCUGUGUACCGGAUCGGGUUAGUUAGCGUGCAAGAAUGUGUCUUCUUUGUUUUUGGUGAACCAUUCUAGUACUAAAACCCACAAGUGCCAAACUAUUGGUUAAAUUGGCCAAGUAAUCUAACCCCACUAAAGAUUUUGCAUAAAGCAUAAGUAUACAAUCCCGUGCAAAAAACUCCUUCCACAACAAUUAAAAAGGUUCGGCAAAAGAAGGAAAUCAAGAGGACCAAUCAAUAAGACAACAAGGAAACUAAUUAUUAGCUUUGACAAGUACAUGCAAAGACAUAUAUUUUUGCUUUAAUGAGAAUACAGAAGCCAAGGAAUUCUGUUAGGUUGAAUGGGGGGGAUAAGAAACUAUACCUUCUUGUUCCAUGCUUUUCGAUUGUGAGCACAGGUGCUUCGACUUCAGCAACAUAGAAUGGGCGUCAGAUCCUGUGUUGCCCCUGCUCUGGUGACCAUUUAGACUUAUUUGCUAGAACUACAGGUUCUGCUUUGGGGUCUGCAGCUAGAACCGAAAAAAGGCUCAUGAGUUUGUGGAUACUUUAUUAGGCGAUGAUACACCAAAGUAGUGUACAAAAUCAUGAUCACUGCCAUGAUAGUUCAUUGCUAAUGUGAUAUGUCAACUUCACCAUGCUUAGAAGACGAGUCAGCAGCAAUUCUAUAUCCAUUGAUUCUACUUCAUGGAUUUUUUUCUUCAUUAGUAAAUAAGUCAGGACUGUCUUCCUGCAAAGAAAAGGUUUGUUUGGUCAAUGAAAUAACCAACAUGCAAAUUAACUGGAACCUUGAAAUUGUUAAAGUUUUCCAACUAUUAUUACAGGCUAUAACAAAAGAAAAUAACAGAACAGGAAGCAAGACAUCUAUUAGUCAAACAACAUGUCAUAUCUAGAAAACUAAGAGUACAUUACUUUGCUUUUAUAAUGCAUUUGAGCAUUUCUACAUAAAAACAAAAGUGAUGGUCAUUCUGUCUAACAAACUUAUCACUACGCCUCAGAUUAUAAAUUUCUAAAUUUACUGGUAAGCAGCUAUGAUUAUUAGUAUUUAGUAGUGUGAUGGCUGGUUUUUUUCAAAGCAUAAAAAACUGCAGUGCUAGCAUUCUAGGGCAAAGGGAAGCACUAAUUGUUUCCUCUGUACCUAACAUGGUGAAAGAUGCCUAUACCUAACAUGGUGAAAGAUUCCUAUUGGUACCAUUCAGUAGCUCCAUAAUGCAUUAAUUAAUUUGAUGUGAUAAGAAGAAAGUAGAAGUCACUCUGCAUGACAUGAGAUUUGAACACUGAGUAUAAGGAGCUAGAAACGCCGAACCAUUUUUAAGCUAAGUUGCAUGGCAUGAACAAAUGUUAAAGCCAUUGAUUUAAAUACUCGGACUGAUAGUAAAAUAUUUACCACCACCACCAAGGCCAUACACUAACCUGAUACACGUCCAUUGGUAGAUAUGUAGGCCAAUAGCUGUAAAGCAAAUAUAUUUUAUCAGAACUACACAAACAUGACCAACAACAUCAAAAAGCCAGCUUGUCAUGCUAGGACCCUAGAGCACAUGAAUGAGAUCAAGUCUCCAAAGCUAUGAACAUGUUGUAACAAGAGCUAGUAUCAAAGCAAUGUGGCAAAAAAUAUUUACCCUAUUGUAAGCACAUGGCCACUUAUUUCAAUGCUGGAGGGAAGCAUUGUCCUAGCUCGAGAUGAUUGCCUGAAUGAAUCAUUUAUUUCUUUGGACAACUCAAUGUCCUACAAAACGAGACAAAUGCAGCGUUCACCUUCUUUGUCGUUGUGUUCGCCGCCACGAUGUCGACGUCAAGCUCCAGUCCCACUAUUGUCCCCAAAUCAAUACCAUACAUACCUGGUAUAUUACUAUUUAUCAGUCAACAUUUAGAAAAUUAGGGAGCUCAUCAUUCAAAAUUGUAAACGAUUGGUAAAAUUUAUUACUAUUUAGUAGUAGUCUGGACCGCUACACCUAAAGGUUGUGCUCUGCAGGAAUGGAGAGUAGUAGGCGGAACAGCUGCACCUGGUGGUUGUGCUCCCGCGUCGCCACCGCAUCGCCCACCUUUCUUUGUCGCUGCGACCUAGAGAUGCAAGUCAAACUUUGGCAACCUUUGUCUUGGCACAAAGCAGGUCUAGCAAAACAAUAUACAAGUCAGUAUCAGUUAGCAAGAACAUGCAUUAAAAAAUAAAACAAAACAACAAGUGAAGCAUAUUCUCCUCUAAUACAAUGAGGUGCGGUUCUCCUGCUUGUUAUAGGAAAAUAAGCAAAGAAAAUUACAUAUGAGCUUAUACUGAAUGAUCAGCUCUAGCAAUACACAAUAUUGCAGAAAACAGUUGGUUAACAGUUGUACAAAUGUGUAGACCUUUCUGUUUAAGUAGUUAUAUGCUUGGCAAAUAUUCUAAAAUGUUCCACAUGAUCAAAUUCCAAAUUCAAUGACCAAAUGGUUACUUACAAUGACUGCAUAUAUAUUUUUGCUCAGAAAUAAGUCUUGAAUCCUAGCCUUUGGAAAGCUACGGAGUGAUUCAAUACACUCCUAGAAAAACUUACUUUAAUCUCAAUUGCUCUCAUUUAAUACAGUGUAUGAUAAUUGUUUGCCUUUCAGUCUGAUCAUUCCUUGAUGACCGCCGGGAGUACAAUUUUAAAAAAUAUAUCAAGGAUUAAUUAAUUAUUUAAAAGCUCAAUCAUUAACCAAUCAGUGAUCUAGGACAAAUUCUAAUCUAUAUGCUUGUGAAGUUAACCAGGUUAUAUAUCGGAGUUCAUUGAGAUGAAAACACAUAUAAAUAUUUACUGACACAUUCGCGCACCAAAUUUAACUCGACCAACAAACAAUAGAUAUGCCUAGAAGUAACAUCAACAAAGUAAAUGUAUAGAAUAUCAGUAAGCUUAUCACCGCAGAAGAACUGAGCCCUGAACUAUCAAGACCUUUCACACAAGAAAUAUAUCCUAUGAUACCCUACAAGAAAUCAUUUGCUAGAAAUAUAUCCUAUGAUCAAAUCGAAGUACGCAGCAGCAACACAAAUACUACAAACUAAAGUGAAUCAAUGCAACCAUUGUUUCAUCAUCCUAGAAAGUUCAUAAUUUUGUCUAUACAUCUUGUCUAGCAAGAGACACCAAACACACAAAAUCAAUGACGACGAAAACUCAAAUUAGACAUAAUCGAUACACAGUCAGUCGAUUCCUCUUAGUUUGUCUACAUCAGUUGACAACCAUGAUAGAUAGUAUUAGUUACUCCUAGUUAGUUAUCCCCACAUAAAUAAAUAGAAGUUAGGGAGUUCAUAGGAGGGCAACAGGAGCGAGCUUCCCUGAGUGUAUGCAUCCAUCAUAUUAACACAACGAAAGGGUGGCUAUGUCUUGGGUCGUGGCCCCAUCCAUACAUAAACAACAAAUCACUUGUUCACGCUGAGAAGGUCGAUCAAGGGGAGAGAAAGAAGGGGAGGAGUGUCAUGUCGAGGAACCCCUGGUGGAGCUCCAUGAAGUUGCGUUCUACCUCGUGCGUCGUGACAUGGCGGUCCUGGAUCACGUGCACCGCGGCGAGAACGACGCCCAGCUCCACCACCCGUAGUGGCUGUCGUACAAAGUCGCUCCCUUAGGAGAUGACUGGAUUUCGUCGCCUGUCAUGUCGUCCUGCCAUUAAAAUGAACACAUCGUCAUAUCUCUAUGUCUUUCCUCGAUAAUAGAUCUAGGUGGAGGACUUGCCUCUGCCAUUAGCGGGUUCUCCGUGCAGGCGGACGAACAUGGCAUGCCUGGAUCCAGUGUCUAUCAUAGCCGCGGUGCGCGCGGAGGGCGUCUGCUAGGCACAACGACUUGCCCUUCUCAUUGGCGCCCGGAUCGGUGCCAACACUUACCUUCUCCCAAGCUCAACUUCACUAACAUCAGCAUCGAUCGAUAGAAUCUAACAUGGACAAUAACAAUGUGGUGAGACUAUAUCCUACUAAAAUUAACAAUUACAGAAACAUAUAGUAAUGCCUUUAAGAUCUCACCUCAUCCAUCAGAUACCUCUCAAACUUAAUAGCGGAUUUUGGUAGCAAUACACCGAUAGAUUUCUUUAUGAAUAAAACAAUUUUGUCAUAACAAUCAAGUAUAUAAAACUAUCAACUUCUAAAAACUUCAGUAAUACAAUUUCACACGAUUGUACAUCGAUGCUGGUAUAGAAAAAGUUGACAAUCAAACAUUGAGAAAAAGUUGACGAUCAAACAAAACUUAAAUAGCAAGUAAACAUUGAUAACCAAACAGAGUAAAUAUUACAAAUCCGUUGGUCAAGAUGUUCUAUUACCCUUUAGUAACCUUGGCUACCAGGGAAUCCAAAGACCAUUUCUAAACUACAAGCUGAAAAUGAAUAUCAAAUAACCUUCAAAUAAAAAUGUUUAGGCGCAGUCAUACAGAGAGUUUGCUAGAACUAUAACUCGAUGUCUCACUAUGAAUUGAAGGUGCAAAAGAAAUUUGAAAACUAAAUUAAAGCACUGAACGUAGGUUUAAUAUGUAUAUAGAGAUAGUGUAAUAUAGAUGCAUAGCAAAAGCUAUAUCCCUGAACAAGCCAAAUCAACUUACAGUUAAGAACAGAGGUAAAAGCUUGGAUAAAUUCUGAAAUUGACCAUUAACAAAUAGAAAUGACUUGACAAAAUUUUAAAUUUCAAGGAGCUCUAAUUAAUGCAUAAUUGUUUCUCUAAAUGCAAUGGCAUGUCAAAACUUAAUAAAAGCAUUAGGAACUGCAAUUGUCAUACCUCGCUCAAGCAGGAUGUCAAUGAUUAGAGAGAGAGUUGUCGGAGAGUGAAAAGGUGCACACCCCUCCUCGCCCUUCGUGUUCAGCAAGCUUGAGAGCCCUAAAAAAGUUAUCAAAGCCAACAGGACAUUAUUGUCGUGAAACAUAGCUCAUCAGGUGACACUAAUCAGAUCACUAUAUAUGGUACACAUAAGUUACUAAAAUUCAAAAAACAAUAGUAGUGUCAAUAACAAUAAAGUUAUUUAAUGAGUCUAAAUAUCAUUACCUGAUUCCUGACCUAAGUUGCUUUGAGUCUGGUAGUAAUCUAUAGUCUCAUGGUAUUACACUGAAAUUUACCCAUCUGCCCAGUUACACUGAAAUUUACAUUGACGAGUUUCCAAUAGCAAUAAACAUGUAAGCUGAAGCUUCUGAGUUCUGACAUCAUCCUCAAUCUACAAUUACACCCUGAAAAUGUGAAACGUUAGUAAAGGGACCUCAUACUCGACUUUAAUGUACUAAAAGGCACCAUCACCAGACAGGGUAAAAGUGAAUUCCAUUAACUGCACAUAAGUUACAACAAAGAACAAUCAUAUGCCUGUUUAUAAGGAAUUCAGGCAUUGCAACAGCAUAUGAAGUCGAAAACUAAUGAAUAAAGCAGCUGACCAGUGAUUUAAGAUAAUGCAAAGUUUAUUCCAAGGCUCCAGGCCAGAUUGCUUGUCUUCCUUUUAUAUUCAAGGUUACAAAAAUUAUCUAUAGCUAGAUAGUUAAUCUAGCCCUAGACGAUGGGAAUUUAAAGUCCAUGUGCGAGCAAGAAGUCAGUCCGAUUCCAACCAGCAAGAAAGAAAUCAUCAACUGGAUUGUCAACACAUGAGUAUCAAAAUAAUAUAAACAUUACACAUGAGUAGCAAGGAAAUGUAGUUGAAAAUAGCAACGAAUUUCAAUCCCCAAAACUGAAAUUUGUUUUUGUUUUCUAUCAUAAUGCAGUCAAAAGUCUAAUCCAAAACCUCGCAAGACAGUAAGCUUUAUACCGAUCCAUAUGGUCAUGGUAGCUUUCCAUAUACACAAUCAAGUACUUAUAACGUAUGGUGGACACGAAGGAAAUGCUAACCAGAAUCAGCUCGAUUAUAACUGGGUCACUGAACGGGCAUCAAUUGAACACUACCAAAAACUGUCAACAUUCAUCUGAGCCCCAGACAGGUAGCUGAAUUACACGGCAGAUAACCCUGAAUCGCACGCAAUACUCGAAAAGGCGAGCAUAGGAAUCGCCCAAUCCCAAAACUACAUCUCCAUCGCAGGGGAGCGCUAUCCCGAAAAUCACCACGCAACACAAUUUGAAGCCUCCCAGCUCGUAGAAACCAAACUAAUCAGAUCGAACCGAGGUGGGGCGAGAGGGACGAGAGUCGGGUGAGAGGGGACGAGGAGGUUCGGGCGAGAGUGAAGCAGAAGAGCGCGGCGUGCGCCGCGGCCGCCUGGGCCGUCUUCCCCACCCCUACCCACGUGUGGCCCCGCCGCCGCUGCAUCCCUCCUGCUCCCUAGGCACCCAACGGGAAAGUCAAAUCUUCCCUUCUCCACCGACUCUGCUUCCUUGGACUCAAUGCUCGGCGAUGGUCCCGGAAACUCAGAGAAAUGGGGGAUGAAAAGGAACACGGGUACCAGGGUUUCUCUCUCUAGUCUAGCGAUGGAGCCGUGGAGAGAGUGGACGGCUGCCGAAGAGGAUGGAUCGGGUCGGUCGCAAUGCGUUCCACCGAGCCGAGAGUCUGAGACACCAAGAGUGAAGGAAACUGAAGAAGGCAGUAUGGUGGACACGAAGGAAACCGAAGUGCAUCAGCAAAUCGGCAUACUCACAUAGCUAUGGGAACAAUUGAGCAAAGAUAUAACUACUCUAGGUGUUUGAACAAUGUUAUGCUUUAUACUGAUGCAACAAUGGAAAUAUUUAUUCAUCAACCUAUUGUGUGUUGUUGCAGCGCACUUGGAUAGAUUGCACAUACAAAGCAAAAAAUGCAAAUAUAGAAGAUGGAUCCUACCAAAGACCUUGGCAAAAACAAGGUGCACAUGUUACUAAAUAAACAUUUCAGCAAGCAACAUAAAUGGUUUAUCAAUACAUGUAACAUAUGAGUUGAUGAAUAAAUAAUAAUGUUAGAUUUUCAGUUCCAUAAAAAUAUCUUAAGUGUCACUAUAUCAUCUCAUAAUGCAUAUAGACAGAUAUUUUUCACCGAGUUCGUGUGUCAAGUGUUAAAUCUAUAGGCCAAUCUACCAGAUAUAAUUAUGUUACAUUUAUAACCAUAUGUAAUAGAUUGGAAUAAAAAAUAAUCUAGUGUUAGUUAGUACACAUAAAUCAGAGCAAUGUUACAUCGAGAAAACACAAUUUAUAAGAACAAGGGUAGUACGACAGGAGUUGAUGGCAUGGUCUUUAGGAUUCAUGCCUCUGAUGGGGCUAUUGUUGCGAAAUUUAAAUCUUCUUCAAAGGCAAUAACUUAAAUGCUCAAUCACAUGAUCUUUAAAAUCUGUUAAAUUCUAUGUUGUUAGUUUGAUAAAUCAGAGUACUAGAACGUAGUAGAUCUACCAAAAGUUAACAUGUGGCUAACAGAAAGCUUUCUAUGGUCCAAACGUUUCUUUUUAGUAUGAACUAAUGUACUGAAAUUGUCAAAUGUAGACUUUACUUAUAGGUCACAAGACAUAGGAAUGUAUAAAUAACUGUAAUACAGAGGCAUGGUAAAAUUCAACAAGGAAAAUUGGGAGAAUGACAUGAGCAUCCACUCACAACUCAUUGAAAGAUGGCUGGCUAUACAAAGAUAGGUUGCUCAACAAAUCAACGUGAAAUAGUAUACAGACAAGGCACUUGUAGGCAUGAAACAAAUGAGAACAUGGAAAGACCAUGGAAAUGCAUUUUGUAAAGGCAUUCCAAGGCACCUAUCUCCGCCAAAAAGAGCAGGCAGGAGCACAAUCAAGUGAAAUGGAUACCUGAGUCGAUGCACCUGGACAUACAAGAGAAGAGAAACUUAAAACACAUCAUUGUUGUUGACCAAAUCCUUACUGGACACCAUCGAGAACCUGCAGGGUCAUAGAAGCAGAAAUGAGAGCGCACAUAAUGAACACAAAGAGAAAUAAGAGGAUGAUAAAUUACCAAAAUAAGCAACAACAUACCAAAAUGCAGGUGCAAUUUAUACUCGAACGCAUAAUCCAUAAGCACAACUUAUAUAGGCACAUAAUUUGGUUUGACAGUAACAACCUAUGAAAAAAGUAUAAGAUAAAUAGAUUCUGUUAUUCUCAAGCAAGAAUAGCACAUGCAUUUUUAGUGUAAGAAUUUCAUAGAUAAAAUGAGCAUAAACAUUAAAGCUUGUUCCUAAUUCUUAUGCUGGUUACACAUGUGCAUAACAAAAUCAUGUGGGUAUGUCCACUAUGUGAGUAUGCUUGUGGAUCUGAACUUGUAAAAAACAAACGAGUAAAGCAUAUAGAUGGGCCUGGGGAUCCAUGUCCAGGAAGAGGGGGAGGAGGUGGUGGAGCAGAACCUCCCUCCGGCGGGACAGGAAGCAGUGGUCACGCUUGGCGGGGUGAUGGUGGUGGGGAGGGGAGGAAGGGGAAGGUAUGAGCUUGUUGCUGAAAAUGGGGGGCGACCUCUUGCCGCUCCCAGAUCCUAUCGCGCGCGGGGAGGGGUGUUGAGGGUGCGGCAGAGGUCACGGCGGGGGCUUGUCCAAGAUGGACAAGUACAUCGCGUACCCGGUUGGAGCGUCGCGGCAGGUUGGGCCAAGAGCAUGAAUGGCGUCUCGAACUUGACGACGACCACCGGUAGUGCGGUGGACACGGGCGCGGGGCUGAUGCUGCCAACUGGAUCUGUGGCGGCUGCGAUCCGGACACCAUGACGGCUAAUGGGGGAUGCGACGCCAUAUUGGGAAGUCUAGGGGUUAGGGUUUUGGGAGGAGCAGAGGGGUGGUGGCUUCUCGACAAGUAGGGCGAGAUGUGGGCAUCUUGGUCACCGAGCACCGCUUGGGCGGCGCCCUAGCGGUGGUCAUCACGGACGAGCUCGCCGGUGGCGGAUGGACGGGCGUGGCAGAGGUGGUUUGUGCGGGCAAACGGACGGGGGCGGUUGGCGGCCGGGAGGGCGAGGAUCAAGUGUGGGGUCGGGAGGAUCGAGCGUGGGGUUGCGAUGGACGAUGGUGGAUGAUGUGGGCAAUAAGAUGGACGGUGCGGAUUAAGGGGAGGCAGAACGACAGAACGACAGAACCAGAUGAGGCAGACUACUAUUGCAGCCUUAAUAAGUAGUAUAGAUAUAUGAACAAUGAGCUUGAUUUGCCUCACUAACUUUAUUUUACGAGUCUAGUGAGCAUCACCUUUUUCAUUGGAACUGGGCAUGUGUCAUUUGUUUUGGCUUGUCGUACCUUGGGUUGGACGAAAUGUUGUGACUCAUCGCGGCUCGCUCGGUUCGUGGUUAGCUCGUCUCUGGUCAGCUCAUUAAUUUUUUUUCACGAGAUAAGCUAACAUCUUAGCUCGGUUCGUUAACGAGUCAGCACGUGAGCUAAACGAGCUACCACAUUUCAAUAAAACAAAAUUAUAUGCAUAUCAUUUACGUGUUAUAUGUAUGCGUGGAGUCUAUAAUGUAUGAGUUAUACUAAUGAUUUUGAUGAAUUAUAGGCAUGUUUGGUUCACUGCCUAACUUGACACACUUUGCCUAACUUGACACACUUUGCCUAACUUUUAUGCCUAAGUUUAGUUCUUCAAUUCGAACGACUAACCUUAGGCAAAGUAUGGCACAGUUAGCCACGAACCAAACAGGCCCUAUUGCUAUAUGUUAAAUUGGUCUAUGCAAAUAUAACUGUGAGUUAAACUGAUGAACAUGUGUGUGAAUUGUGAAUUGAUAAGUGAUGAGUUGUGUUAAUUUGGUGUACAUUGAUGUGGUCCGCGAAACUUGAGUAUAAUUACUAUUUUAUAUUGUUCAAUUAGUUUGAAAUUAAGGCUAUCUCCAAUAGAUCCCUAUCUCAUCCCCUAUUUCAUCCUCUAUUUCAAACUUUUCUUUCCAAAUAGUGUCAAACAAUGUCAUCUACAAUUUUGUGUCCCCUAUUCUACGCACUCUAUUGGAGAUAGUCUAACUAGAAAUUGAUUAUUAUAUACAUAUUGUUUUUUUCUGCUCUGACUCGCGAGUUAAACGAGCCAGCUCGAGCUUGUAAACGAGCCGAGAUGAGCCAACUCAUUAGCUUAACGAGCCACCUCAAACUCGGACGAGCCGAGCUGGCUCGAUAUCUAGCCCUAUCGUACCUCCUGUUUCGAAAUGAUGGCCAUGGAUGAUUUUGCAAAGCUGCCAAGUGUUACGUUAGGUGGCGUUUGGUUCCACAGCAUACUGAGAAUCCAGAUGAGUAACCAAACAGAGCAUGUUUUUUUGUCUUGGUUAUCCCACAACAUGAGAGAAUCCUAUUAUCUGCACAUCCAACUAUAUAGUCUCAGAUUGAACUUUGUUAAGGGCAAGCCUCCUAUGGUGCAAGAUAGAGAACGUUACAUUUUAUAUCCUGAAAACUAUCCUAAGCAUAAUAUUAGAAGAAUUCAUGCUAAGAAAUCUCAUCAUGUUGCUCAGCAUGCUUACAUUUACAGAAAUGAGGCUUCUAGUUCUAGGCAUACAACUCAUAUUAAGAUGCAUAAGAAAAAGAUUGUUGAUGCAUCAAAUGAACAAAGCAUUUCAUUUAAAGCCUUUGAUGCAUCCUUUGUUAUUACUAACAAAUCCAGCAAAUUAGUUGCCAAAUAUGUUGGGGGCAAGCAUAAGAAUCCAAAGACUUAUGUUUGGGUACCCAAGGUGCUUGUUUCUAAUGUGAAAGGACCCAAGACCAUUUGGGUACCUAAGGACAAGGCCUAAAUUUGUGUUGUAGGUUUAUGCAUCCGGUGGAACAAGUUGGAUAAUUGACAACGGGUGCACAAACCACAUGACAGGGGAGAAAAUAAUGUUCUCCUCAUAUGAGAAAAAUGAUGAUCCCUAAAGAGCAAUCAUAUUCGGGGAUGGAAAUCAAGGUUUGGUCAAAGGAUUGGGUAAAAUUGCUAUAUCUCCUGACCAUUCCAUUUCUAAUGUAUUUCUUGUAGAAUCUCUAGGUUACAACUUGCUCUUUGUGUCUCAAUUAUGCAAAAUGGGCUACAACUGUUUGUUUACUGAUGUUGAUGUUACCGUCUUUAGAAGAAAUGAUGAUUCACUAGCUUUUAAGGGACUGUUAGAUGGUCAGCUAUAUUUAGUCGAUUUCACUGAUAAUAAUGCUGAACUAAACACUUGCCUAACUGCUAAGACUAAUAUGGGUUGGCUCUGGUAUCGCCGACUUGCUCAUGUUGGGAUGAAGAAUCUUCACAAGCUUCUAAAGGGGAACACAUUUUAGUAUUAACCAAUGUUCAUUUUGAGAAAGACAGAAUUUGCAGUGCAUGUCAAGUAGGGAAGCAUGUUGGAACUCAUCAUCCACACAAGAACAUCAUGACGACCGAGAGGCCGCUUGAGCUACUCCACAUGGAUCUUUUUGGCCCGAUUGCUUACAUAAGCAUCGACAGGAGUAAGUAUUGUCUUGUAAUUGUAGAUGACUAUUCUCGCUUCACUUGGGUGUUCUUUUUGCAGGAAAAAUGACAAAUCCAAGGGACCUUAAAGAAAUUCUUGAGACGAGCUCAAAAUGAGUUCGGAUUGAGAAUCAAGAAGAUUAGAAGCGACAAUGGAACAGAGUUCAAGAACUCUCAAAUUGAAGGAUUUCUUGAGGAGGAGGGCAUCAAGCAUGAGUUCUCUUCUCCCUACACAUCUCAACAAAAUGGUGUUGUGGAAAGAAAGAAAGAAAGAAAGAAUAGAACUUUUAUGGAUAUGGCAAGAACCAUGCUUGAGGAAUACAAGACAUCGGAUUGGUUUUGGGCGGAGGCGAUUAACACCGCUUGCUACUCCAUCAACCGACUCUACCUUCACUGAAUCCUCAAGAAAACAUCAUAUGGACUCCUCACCGGUAAAAAGCCCAAUGUUUCUUAUUUUAGAGUUUUUGGGAGCAAGUGCUUUAUUCUUGUUAAGAGAGGUAGAAAUUCAAAAUUUGCUCCUAAAGUAGUAGAAGGCUUUUUACUUGGUUAUGACUCAAACACAAGGGUAUAUAGAGUCUACAACAAGUCCACUGGAUUAGUUGAAGUUUCUUGUGACAUUGUGUUUGAUGAGACUAAUGGCUCCCAAGUAGAGCAAGUUGAUCUUGAUGAGUUAGAUGAUGAAGAGGCUUUGUGCAUCGUGCUAAGGAACAUGUCCAUUGGAGAUGUGUGUCCACAAGAACUCGAAGAGCCCUCAUAAGCACAAGAUCAACCAUCAUCUUCCAUAGAAGCAUCUCCACCAACUCAAGAUGAUGAACUAGCUCAAGAAGAAGAUCAAGUUCAAGACAAUGAGCCACCUCAAGAAGAAGGCAUCGAUCAAGGGGGAGAUGAAGUUGAUCAAGAAAAGUAGGAUGAACAAGAGAUACAAGAUCAAAGACAGCCUCACCCAAGAGUCUACCAAGCAAUUCAAUGAGAUCACCCCGUCGACUCCAUACUCGGUGACAUUCAAAAGGGGGUAACCACGCGAUCUCGAGUUGCUCAUUUUUGUGAACAUUACUCUUUUGUGUCUUCUAUUGAGCCAUACAGGAUAGAGGAUGCCCUUAGAGAUCUAUACUGGGUGGUGGCAAUGCAAGAGGAGCUCAACUUCACGAGAAAUGAGGAUGACAUUUAGUUCCACGUCCUAACCAAAAUGGUGUAGGUACCUAGUGGAUAUUUCGCAACAAACAAGAUGAGCAUGGUGUGGUGACUAGGUACAAAGACUGACUUGUUGCAAAGGGGUAUUCACAAGUUGAAGGUUUGGAUUUCGAUGAAACCUAUGCACCCGUAGCUAGGGUUGAGUCAAUUCGAAUACUACUUGCAUAUGCUACUUACCAUGGCUUUAAGUUGUAUCAAAUGGAUGUGAAAAGUGCCUUCCUCAAUGGUCCUAUCAUGGAAGAGGUGUAUGUUGAGCAACCUCCCGACUUUGAAGAUAGUGAGUAUCAUUCACAUGUCUAUAAGCUCUCAAAGGCGCUUUAUGGGCUCAAACAAGCCCCAAGAGCAUGGUAUGAAUGCCUGAGAGACUUUCUUAUCAAUAAUGGUUUUAAAGUCGGAAAAGCUGACCCUACUCUCUUCACUAAAACAAUUGACAAAGACCUAUUUAUAUGUCAAAUUUAUGUUGUUGAUAUUAUCUUUGGGUCUACUAACAAGUCAUCCUGUGAAGAGUUUAGUAGAAUUAUGAUAUAGAAAUUUGAGAUGUCCAUGAUGGGGGAGUUGAAGUAUUUCCUUGGAUUCCAAAUCAAGCAACUCCAAGAGGGCACCUUCGUUUGCCAAAAAAGUACAUUCAAGAUAUUUUCAAGAAGUUUGGAAUGAAGAAUGCCAAACCCAUCAAGACUCCUAUGGGAACAAAUGGGCAUCUCGACCUCGACACUAGAGGUAUGUCUAUAGAUCAAAAGGUAUACCGGUCGAUGAUACGAUCUUUACUCUACUUAUGUGCUUCAUGACCGGAUAUUAUGCUUUUAGUAUGCAUGUGUGCAAGAUUCCAUGCAGACCCUAAGGAAAUCCACCUAAGGGUCGUGAAAAGAAUCAUGAGAUAUUUUGUUUACACUCCUAAGUUUGGGCUAUAGUACCCCAAGGGAUCUACCUUUGAUCUAAUUGGGUAUUCUGAUGCUGAUUAUGCCGGAUGUAAGAUUGAUAGAAAGAGUACAUCGGGGACUUGUCAGUUUAUGAGGAGAUUCUUGGUGUCUUGGGCUUCAAAGAAACAAAACUCAGUAGCUCUAUCCACCGCAGAAGUUGAGUAUAUUGCUGCAGGACAUUGUUGUGCACAAUUACUCUGGAUGAGGCAAACUCUUAGGGACUAUGACUACAAACUAAGCAAAGUCCCUCUCCUAUGUGACAAUGAGAGUGUAAUCUGCAUGGCAGACAAUCCUGUUGAACACAGCGGCACAAAGCACAUAGACAUCUGGUAUUACUUCCUGAGAGAUCACCAACAACGGGGAGAUAUCGAAAUUGCUUAUGUUAGCACCCACAACCAGUUAGUCGAUAUCUUCACCAAGCCUUUAGAUGAAAAGACUUUUAGCAAGCUUAGGAAUGAACUAAAUGUCUUAGAUUCUCGGAACUUUGAUUGAAAUCUUGCACGCAUUGCUCAUUUUAUACCUUUGAUCGUGCCAUAUCUCUUUCAUUUGGUACAAAUGCAUAUUUCUUAUUCUUCUUGUGUCGAAGCUAAGACUAAUGUGCUUUCAAGAAUAUUUCUAUACUUAGUCUUAGAUUGAAAGGGAAAUGGAGGUGUAGGCUACGACAAGGCUUCCACUACAACUUUGUUAGUAUCAUAUACCAUUUGCCCUACUCAUGUAUUUACAUUCAUGUCUUUCUUGUUACAAGGCCUCUAUAUUUCUUUGCUUUUGGUGUUUUAUGCCAAUGGGUGAGAAAUUAAUAGGCCAAAGCAAAAGGACCGCACCACCACCCUGUUUUCUGAAAACUUUUUCUAAAUUAGAACUAUUGCAUUUGCAAAACCCCUCUUGACAACUAAGGGGAGAACUUUUUCAGGGGAGCUUUUAUUUAGCCAAAGAAAAGGCAUUUGAAAAGGGGGAGAAUCUUUCAAAACUUGAACAUGCCUUUAGAAAUUAUAUUCUUAUACCAUUGGCAAAUUGCAAAAGAAUCUGAAAAGACUUUUCCAAAAGAUUUGCAAAAACAAGCUAAGUGGUGCAAAUGUGGUCCAAAAUUUUAAUAUAUCAAAAAGGUCAUAUAUACUUAGAACUAUUUUCAUUUCAAAAAUAACUUAUGUACAUAUCUAAAAAUGCAAACUAGCUACAUUUCAAUACUUUGUAUUUGCUUUGGUUUGUGUUGGCAUCAAUCACCAAAAAGGGAGAGAUUGAAAGGGAAAUGGCCUCAACCAUUUCAUAUAAUCGAUUUUGGUGUUUGACGCCCAUCACAAAUCUCAUGGACUAACUAGUUUGCCUAGUUGAUCAUUUCCCGGGUGCAUAAGGUUCAUGUACAUCAAUUAUAAGUCGACUGUCCGGAAUACCAUAGAUUAUUCCAUACAUGAGAAGCUUUUUGGAAAUUCUCAUGUGCGCGGACUGUCCGAGCCCUUACGGCGGACCGUCCACGACACUAGGAUGAACCUCGGACAGGAACACUGCAAUAACAACGUUUACACUGCGGACUGUCCGAAGGAGAAGCGAGCACCGUUCGAGACCAAGCGUGGACCUUCCGGCCGUUGAAAAACCAGAAAAACCCGAAGGUGACAGGUUCGGUAAAAUGCAUUUUUAGCAUCCUCGCGGACCGUUUGGGGUGCACGGCCGGACCGUCCGUGACUGCUUUAUCUGACAUCUGACGAUGCAUUAAAUGCACUAUAGCCGUUUAUAUAUUCGUUACUGCUGACCAUUGCGAUUCGAGGCAUUGAUAUGCAGGGGCGGACCAUCCGGUCCAGGGACGCAGACCGUUCGCGGUCAACAAAAAAGGAGCAACAGAUAGGAAGUGGUUGGUGGCUAUAAAUACAACCCCAACCACCUCCAUUUAACACACCCAAGCAUUCUACACAUACACAUUCAAUACAAGAGCAAGGAAUUCAUUCCAAGACACAUUCAAAGCUUCCAAUCCUCUACAAGUGCCACAAUUGAGACAAGUGAUCAUUAGUGAUUAGUGACUUGAGAGGGUGAUUCGUGUUUCAUUUGUUGCUCUUGUUGCUUGGCUUUUAAUCAUGCUUUCUUCAUCUCCUUCUAAACUCUCUAGUGACUUGUAAAGCUAGCAAGAGACACAUAAGUGUGUGGUGGUCCUUGCAGGGUCUUAGUGAUCCUUGAGUUUAAGAAGAAGCACUCAACCGGUCUAAGUGAUCGAUUCAGAGAGGGAAAGGGUUGAAAAAGAUCUAGCCUUCGUGGCCUCCUUAACAGGGAGUAGGUUCGUUGGAACUGAACCUCGGGAAACAAAUCAUUGUGUCCGUUUAUUUUGAUCUUCACCUUACGAUUUGAUUCUUCCUCUCCCCUCUCUCUAAGUUCUCUUGAUCACAAUCUUUUGAGUUAGCUCCCAAAGUUAUCUACAUUGAUUGAGCAACUCAUAGCAAGAAGAACUCUCUUUCGCACUCUGUAUUCAUUAUUAUUUGUUUAUAAUCCUAACCCCGGGUGAAGUUCGUGUUCAAAGUUUAUAAUUUACAGGUUUCGCCUAUUCACCCCCCUCUGGGCGACUUUCAGGUAUGACAAGUGAUAAGCAUGCUACUCAUGAGGUACGUGACAUAUUCCAUGGUAGAAUAAGUGCCCCUUUGGCAUGGCUCUUUGAGUGACUCUAGCCCCGGCUAAUCAUGAAGCCCUGCUAAAUGGUUACAAAAAUGGGUUCUCAUCGAGAUCUCUCCAAGAGCUAGAGUUGUUUUUUUAUUGGGAGCCGGAGCACCGAUAACCUGGCUUCUACUGGCUCCUAAGGAGAAUCUAUUUUGCCAAAUGAAUUGCAAAAUGGCUCUAGCCCCUCUAGAGAAGCCAAAAAGCUGGAGCUAGAGCUGGAGUUGUUUUCAGAGGAGCCGGAGCCAUGCCAAAGGUGCCUAAAACUUUCUUGAUAAGAGGGUGCACCUGACCUUCAUGAGGUAGGAUCUAAGUUACUCGCAAGACCUAACAAAUCUGGGAAAUAUCAGAAAAUUGCCACAAUGACCCAGGGUUGUACAACAGGAAAUAGCAAAAUUGCCCCAAAUGUGAUAUUGAUUGUCGAAGCGUACACGGUGGGCACCAAAUGUUGGGUCAUGACAUGUGGGCCCAAGCACUCAGGAAUAGGUGGGACAACAAUGCACGACAAAACAAAUGGUUGGGGAGCUCAAAUGUCUUUCAAGUAUGUCCCAUCCGAGGGUUAGAUGGGGAGUAUUUAUAGGUAACCAGAGGAUAGAGGGCCUAUGUACGUUUGUACCUCUAAUUACCUACUACAUUCUUGGAAUAUAUUGUACAAUAGGGUAAUUACUGAACAGUUCCAACCCCGGCCUAAUUACACCAGACAACGUACCCAUAGUGGAGACUAACAGUGGAUCUGCCUCACACGCCGAGGGAGGCCCACCAAGCCUCUGCUUCCCGUGCAUAGAUUUGGGCCAUAAGUCUAGAGGGGGCCUUUGUCUUGAGGCCUUUGUCCCAAGUUCUUCACGGUCUUCCCCUCGAUUCGCCUCAUCCUUCCAUGAGGUAGAAUUAGGACUCUUCAUAAAGUAUGAGGUCUUCGCUUCGAUGAAUGUGGUCUCUCUCAAGAGGCUUUCGGUGUUGGUCCCCAAGGGCCUUCGCUGUCGGUGUUUGGGACCCAACCGUGCACCCGAGGUUACCCCUCGAGGUGCUUUUGGGUAGGACGGCGUUGCUGACUGUAGCUUGAUGGUUCGUGCUAGGCGCACGAGAGACGAUAGACAAUUUUCUACAGGUUCGGGCCGCUUGGAGAGGCAUAAUACCCGACUUCCUGGUGUGGAUCUUUAUGUGGUGGGUUACAGGGAGAUUCUCUAGUAUGAAGGAUGCUAGAGAAUGGAGUUGAUGGCUGAUGAAUGACCUGUCUUUUGAUAGGGUGCCCCCUGGGCCUUAUAUAUCCGACCGUGGGGCAUUUACAUAUGUCUACGAUAACGUUGCAUGCCUAAGUAAUAGUGAACCAACCGAACUUAUCUUCCUACAAUCUUGCCAACUUAUUCUCACUUAGUUCUGUUGUCCAAGGUGGUCGCACGGGAGAAUCGGAUAAGAGCUGCGGAUAACGCUCAAAACCUCGCGAACCGCCUUGGCCUGCGCUUGUCCAUUCCUUGCGUCGGCCCAUUUCCGCCAGCAGUUCCCCCCUAGCCCAUGAAGGGAUGGCCUUACAAGACAGUAAGCCCAAAACCUGUUUGCGAGGCCUUCUAACCUUCUAGUGGACCCAGGGGAUAUCUAUCACCCACAAGCCCCCAAUCUUUGAGUUGAUUUUGAAAUAAUCAGCCCAAAGAUUAUAGGUCCAGCUUGCGGUUUUGAUUUCCAUUUUUGGUGAUGAACGCUUGGGAAGCGCAUCUGUUGAGUGUUGCUUCUGAACUCUGAGUGACUUUAGUAAAAAAACAAUCUUCGGUUGUCCUCCUUUGGUACACUCGACGAUUUUCGCCUUAUGCUUUAGGAAUCGGCACUCUGUCAUCGACUUACGCUUUAGAGAUCAGUGCUCUGUCCUUUGGGGUUAAAGAUUCAUUGGGUGCACCCGAGCUUUGAGUGGAUUAUUGAAAAUCAUCUCAUGCUUUAGAAAUCAUUAUUUUAUCUUCGCCUUGUGCUUUAGAAACCAGCAUUUUACCAUCGGUUCAUGUUUUGGAGAUCAGCAUUCUGUCCUUUGGGGUUAAAGAUUCAUUGGGUGCACUGAGGUGUAGCCCCCGAGCUUUGAGUGGAUUAUUGAAAAUAAUCCACUCAAAGGACUUCAUCCCAUGCUUUAGAAAUCCUUAUUUUAUCCUCGUUUCAUGCUUUAGAAACUAGCAUUUUAUCUCCGUCUCAUGCUUUAAAAAUUAGCAUUGUAUCAUCAGCUUAUGCUUUAGAGAUCAGCAUGUUGUCUUCAUCUCAUGCUUUAGAAACUAGCAGCGUGGUCUGCCCAUGUCCUGUUAGGUUUGAAAUUUAUUUGAUCAGCGACAGAUUAGAUGUCUGGUAGAUGGCUCUUGGCCGGUCUUCAUUUCGCCUUGUGCUUCAAUGCUUCUGCUGACUAGACUUGCAGUUCAGUAGCUAUAUUUGGCUUUCAUUUGAUCUCUAUCGAUAUCUUCUUUCUGUCUUAACACAUUCAUUGCAUAUAUUGUAUGGAUGUGACUACUUCAGAAAAUCUAUUGAAAAUUCUUGGUCGUCCCCCACCCAAUGGGUGUUUUCCAAUGGGUGUGACCAAGGGACGUCUUGGUACGCAAAGCGUUUAGCACAUUGUCUUGGAGUAGUAACUUGACCUGACCACUGGGCGUAAUCAUAUUGCCCAAGCAGUUGACCUUAGUCCAAAUGGUGUCGUGUUACGCGAAGCGGCGUCUGCUGCCUGACUCGCCUUUAGGCAAUUUGAAUUGCUUAUUGAAUACUUGCGACUGUUCGGUGGGCGUGGUAGGAGACGAACAAUUGCCACCGGCCUAUAUAAAUAGCCUGUUUGCUCCUCUGUUGUUUUCGCACAUCCUCUGAUCGUUCGUUGUUUCUUUCUAAACCUUCUCUUCUUUUCCAUCUAGCCAUGGGCAAGGACAAGAAAGGUCAGGGCGUACCGCGUCGCUCCGGUGACAAACGGAAGCGUGAACCGAGUCCCUCGUCGGAGGACUUUGGUGACUCCGAGUACUCGGAGGAGGAGUUCUCCUCCGAGCCCGAGGGGUCUCCGGUCUACACUUCCCCCCCGGCAUCGUCUGACGACUCGUACGACUCCUAGGGGAUAGCCACCGAGGUGUGGACGUACAUCCGGUCAGUCGAGCGCAGUGGGCUCGAGGGUUCGGAUGAGUCGGAGGUCUCCUCGGACGAGAACUCUUCCGACUCAUCCAAAGAAGGGAGCGGCAGCGACGGCGACGAUGAGGGCGACAGCGGCGAUGGCGAUGACAGUGGCGACGGCGGCGAUGGCGGCAGCAAGGGUGGUGGAGGCGAUGGCAGCGGCAAGGGCGAUGACGACGGCAAGGGCAGCAUCAGCAGCAGCAAGGCCAGUGGCAAAGCGCCAUUGGCUUAAAUAUUAGUAUAGGUAAUUAGUAGUAGCAGUAGUAGUAGUGAAAUAAUGUAGUAGUAGUUAGUAGUAUAGUGUAAUGUAAGUAAUGUAGUAAUGUAAUGUAGUAAUAAAGGAAAGAAAAGGUCGACUCAUAAUGAGUUAGUCUUUAAGUUUGUGAAAACUUCUCUCCUCUAUGCAAUGAAGGACCUUGGCCGAUCUGAAUGAGUGUUGCCUCUUUCUUUAAGUGUUUGAUAGUUUGCUUUUGCAUCUAAUGUUGUUGGCGUUAUAAAAAAUAAUCACCGAGCGAUAGCUGAUGAUACCGGCGUUUUAGAAGUAACAGCCGAGUUAUGCUUGACACUGCCGGUGUUUUAGAGAUAAUGAACGGGUAGUGCUUGAUGUUGUCGGCGCUUUUAGAGGUAACGGCCAAGUUAUGCUUGAUACCGCCAGCGUUUUAGAGAUAACGACCGGGUAGUGCUUGAUGCUGUCGGCGCUUUUAGAGGUAACAACCAAGUUAUGCUUGAUACUGCCGGUGUUUUAGAGAUAACGGUCGGGUAGUGCUUCAUGUUGUCGGCGCUUUUAUAGGUAACAACCGAGUUAUGUUGAAAAUCUCAUUUUCCCGAGUGAUGACUUGGCCCUUUUUAGAAAUGGCGUCCGACCCAGGAAAACCCCAUUUAUGCUCAUGCCAACAUGCGCUUUUGAUUUCUGAGCCCUAACUUCGCAUUUCCGCCUCAAACCUCUUUUUUGCUUCUCUGAAAUUUUGCUCCCCUUUGUCCCGGCGGCGAGAUUGCAAUGGCGCCGAAACGGAAGAACCAGAGUUCCGUUGCGGCAAUCAUUCCUCCCAUCGACCCCAAUAGUCAGUUGUUGUUCGCAGGUAACCACAUGUUUGUUGUUUCGGAAUCAGAUCUUCUUCAUCUUGUUGAUGUUGGGGUUCUUCUUCCAAAAGAGCUCUGCUCUUGGCGGAUUUGCCGCGGGGUCACUAUUCCGACAGAAGACACCCACGAGUCUGUCAUCUAUAUUUCUUUUCUUAUCCGUGGCCUUGCUCUUCCUGUUUUUCCCUUCUUCCGCGGCCUCCUUGAUUUCUAUGAUCUGAACUUGACCCAUCUGAACCCUAAUUCUAUUCUGCAAAUUUCUAUCUUCGUGCAUCUGUGUGUGGCCUACCUCGGAAUUCUUCCCCAUUUUGGCCUCUAGAAGUAUUUGUAUCAUUGUCGGCCUGGGAUGGCUGGGGGGCAGCACCAGCUCGUUGGUGGUGCAAGUUUGGAGAUGCGUCGCGGCAGGAAGACAGAAUACCUUGACAUUCCUCUCAAGGAUAGCAUUAAAGGAUGGCGCCUUGAGUGGUUUAUUGUGGAAAACCACUGCGAGUCCCUCCCCCCUCGGUCGGGGAGGCAACCAGAUGUACGUACUCUGAGCUGGGUUGAGUCUCCAACUCCUUUGGAGGUAACGAAGGCCAGAGUUCUGCUUGCUGAGAUCUGUCUGCUGAAGGAGAAAGGUCUGACUGCCGAAGCCGUGGUUGCAAAUUUCGUCUUCAAGAAUAUCCAGCCUUUGAAGGGCAGGGCAUACCCUUUAUAUCUGUACAGCGGCAUCAAUGAUGGCACCCGGGUGACAAACAAGAGAAUUGAGAACACCUAGAGGGGGGGGGGGUGAAUAGGUGAUCCUGUGAAACUUAAACUUAUAGCCACAAAAAAACUUGUUAAGUGUUAGCACAAUAAUCGCCAAGUGGCUAGAGAGGAGUCUCAACAAAACACAAUACCACAAGAGAUCAAACACAGAGAUGACACAGUGGUUUAUCCCGUGGUUCGGCCAAGACCAACGCUUGCCUACUCCAUGUUGUGGCGUCCCAACGGACGAGGGUUGCAAUCAACCCCUCUCAAGCGGUCCAAAGACCAACUUGAAUACCACGGUGUUUUGCUUUGCCUUUCAAUAUCCCGUUUGCGAGGAAUCUCCACAACUUGGAGUCUCUCGCCCUUACACUUGAAAUUCACAAAGAAGUAUGGAGUAAGGGAGGGAAGCAACACACACAAAUCCACAGCAAAAUGCGCACACACACGGCCAAGAAUCGAGCUCAAAAGACUAUCUCAAAGUUCUCACUAGAACGGAGCUCGAAUCACUGAGAAUGACAAACGAAUGCGCAGAGACUGAGUGUGGAUGAUCAAGAAUGUUCUAAGGUUGCUUGGUGUACUCCUCCAUGCGCCUAGGGGUCCCUUUUAUAGCCCCAAGGCAGCUAGGAGCCGUUGAGAGCAAAUCUGGAAGGCCAAUCUUGCCUUCUGUCGUCGGGUGCACCGGACAGUCCGGUGCCCGAUUUCUUUCCUUAAACGGCACAGCCGACCGUUGCCGACCGUUGGAGAUCUGGGAGCCGAUGGCGCACCGGACAUGUCCGGUGCACACCGGACAGUCCGGUGCCCCCUUCCGACCGUUGGCUAGGCCACGUGUCGUGCGCAGAUUCCGCGGCCGACCGUUGGCUUGGCCGACCAUUGGCUCACCGGACAGUCCGGUGCACACCGGACAGUCCGGUGAAUUUUAGCCGUACGCCGUCGGCAAAUUCCCGAGAGCGGCCUCUUCGCCCGAGGCAGCCUGGCGCACCGGACACUGUCCGGUGCACCACCGGACAGUCCGGUGCCCCAGAACGAGACAGCCUUUUGGCUGUACACAGCCAACUCUUCUCUUCUUUCUUCUUUCUGUUUCUAUCACUUAGACAAGUGUAUUAGUAUACAAAACCAAUGUACUAAGGCUUAGAAACAUACCUUUACUCAUGAUUUGCACUUUGUUCAUCCAUGGUCAUAAAUUCACAUUUAAGCACUUGUGUUGGCACUCAAUCACCAAAAUACUUAGAAAUGGCCCAAGGGCACAUUUCCCUUUCAAUCUCCCCCUUUUUGGUGAUUUAUGCCAACACUACAUAAAGCAACUAGAACAAGUGCAAAAUCACUUCAAAUAAAAUAAAUUUGAGUUUUAUUCAAUUUUGGCAUAUAUGGAUCAUCCUUUGCCACCACUUGGUUUGUUUUUGCAAAUCAAACUCAAAUCUCUAUCUCUAAUUCAAACACAUAUGUUGAAGCAUAAAGAGAGUCAUUCCAAAAGAGAUUGAUCAAAGAUUUCAAAAACUCCCCCUUUUUCCCAUAAUCAACAUUUCUCCCCACAAGAAGCCAACUUUUGAUAAGAGAGACAAUACAAGAGUUUUGACAAACCAAAAGCUCUAUCCCCCUUUUUCCUAUAAUCAACAUUUCUCCCCACAAGAAGCCAACUUUUGAUAAGAGAGACAAUACAAGAGUUUUGACAAACCAAAAGCUCUAUUCUACUAUUUCUAAAAUUUCUCAAGUGAUAGUUGAUCCAUUUAUUGCUUUGGCCUUUAUUUUCUCCCCCUUUGGCAUCAAGCACCAAAACGGGAUCAAUCUUGGCCCUUUAACCCCAUUGCCUCACCAAAAUCUUCAAUUAAGAUCAAAUGGCAAUAAGAGUUCAUGAGAUGAACUUGGAAUAAGUUACCCUCUCAUCGGAGUGCAGUGGAAGUCUUUCAUGGUCCAAGUCCACCUUUUCCCUUUCAAUUCUCCUUCGAGACUAAAUCAAACAUAACUCAAGCAUAUGGUUAGUCUCAAAGGGUCAAGUUGUGACACAACUCCCCCUAAACAUGUGCAUCACUUUGCAACGGACUUGUGAGGUCCAGGGAGUGUUUGUACAACUUGAGCACCAAAAUAAGCAACAAAAUGCAGAAUGAACAUGAUCAGAGGCAUAAACACAUGUAUGCUACAAUUCAAUCCAAGUUCCGCGAAUCUAAGACAUUUAGCUCACUACGCAGCCUGCAAAAGGUCUUCUCAUCUAGAGGCUUGGUAAAGAUAUCGGCUAGCUGGUUCUCGGUGCUAACAUGAAACACUUCGAUAUCUCCCUUUUGCUGGUGGUCUCUCAAAAAGUGAUGCCGGAUGUCAAUGUGCUUUGUGCGGCUGUGCUCAACAGGAUUUUCCGCCAUGCGGAUAGCACUCUCAUUAUCACAUAGGAGCGGGACUUUGCUCAGAUUGUAGCCAAAGUCCCGGAGGGUUUGCCUCAUCCAAAGUAGUUGCGCGCAACACUGUCCUGCGGCAACAUACUCGGCCUCAGCGGUGGAUAGGGCAACGGAGGUUUGUUUCUUAGAGUUCCAAGACACCAGAGACCUUCCUAAGAAUUGGCACGUCCCCGAUGUACUCUUCCUAUCGACCUUACAUCCAGCAUAGUCGGAGUCUGAAUAUCCAAUCAAGUCAAAGGUAGACCCCUUUGGAUACCAGAGCCCGAAGCAAGGCGUAGCAACUAAAUAUCUAAGGAUUCGCUUCACUGCCACUAAGUGACACUCCUUAGGAUCGGAUUGAAAUCUAGCACACAUGCAUACGCUAAGCAUAAUAUCCGAUCUACUAGCACAUAAGUAAAGUAAUGACCCUAUCAUUGACCGGUAUGCUUUUUGAUCAACGGACUUACCUCCUUUGUUGAGGUCGGUGUGUCCGUCGGUUCCCAUCGGAGUCUUUGCGGGCUUGGCGUCCUUCAUCCCAAACCGCUUUAGCAGAUCUUGCGUGUACUUCGUUUGGGAGAUGAAGGUGCCGUCCUUGAGUUGCUUCACUUGGAACCCAAGGAAGUAGUUCAACUCGCCCAUCAUCGACAUCUCGAAUUUCUGCGUCAUCACCCUGCUAAACUCUUCACAAGACUUUUGGUUAGUAGAGCCAAAUAUUAUGUCAUCGACAUAAAUUUGGCACACAAACAGAUCACCAUCACAUGUCUUUGUAAAAAGAGUUGGAUCGGCUUUCCCAACCUUGAAAGCAUUAACAAUUAGAAAGUCUCUAAGGCAUUCAUACCAUGCUCUUGGGGCUUGCUUAAGUCCAUAGAGCGCCUUAGAGAGCUUACACACUUGGUCGGGGUACCGUUCAUCCUCGAAGCCAGGGGGUUGCUCCACGUACACCUCCUCCUUGAUUGGCCCGUUGAGGAAAGCGCUCUUCACAUCCAUUUGGUACAACCUGAAAGAGUGAUGAGCGGCAUAUGCUAGCAAGAUACGAAUUGAUUCUAGCCUAGCCACAGGAGCAAAAGUCUCCUCGAAAUCCAAACCUGCGACUUGGGCAUAACCUUUUGCCACAAGUCGAGCCUUGUUUCUCGUCACCACCCCGUGCUCGUCCUGUUUGUUGCGGAACACCCACUUGGUUCCCACAACAUUUUGCUUCGGACGAGGUACCAGCGUCCAAACUUCAUUACGCUUGAAGUUGUUUAGUUCCUCCUGCAUGGCCAACACCCAGUCCGGAUCUAGCAAGGCCUCUUCUACCCUGAAAGGCUCAAUAGAAGAGACAAAGGAGUAAUGUUCACAAAAAUUAACUAAUCGAGACCGAGUAGUUACUCCCUUGCUAAUGUCACCCAGAAUUUGGUCGAUGGGAUGAUCCCUUUGAAUCAUCGCUCGAACUUGGGUUGGAGGUGCCGGUUGCGCUUCUUCCUCCAUCACAUGAUCAUCUUGUGCUCCCCCUUGAUCACACGCCUCCUGUUGAUGAACCUGUUCAUCGUCUUGAGUUGGGGGAAGCACCAUAGUUGAGGAAGAAGGUUGAUCUCGUUCAUCUUGUUCCUGUGGCCGCACUUCUCCAAUCGCCAUGGUUCGUAUAGCGGCCGUUGGAACAUCUUCUUCAUCUACAUCAUCACAAUCAAAAACUUGCUCUCUUGGAGAGCCAUUAGUCUCAUCAAAUACGACGUCGCUAGAGACUUCAACCAAACCUGAUGAUUUGUUGAAGACUCUAUACGCCUUUGUAUUUGAGUCAUAACCUAAUAAAAACCCUUCUACUGCUUUGGGAGCAAACUUAGAAUUUCUACCUUUCUUCACUAGAAUGUAGCACUUGCUCCCAAAUACACGAAAGUAAGAUACAUUGGGUUUGUUACCGAUUAGUAGCUCAUACGACGUCUUCUUGAGGAGGCGAUGAAGGUAGACCCUGUUGAUGGCGUGGCAAGCCGUGUUCACGGCUUCCGUCCAAAAGCACUCGGGGGUCUUGAAUUCUCCUAGCAUCGUCCUCGCCAUGUCGAUGAGCGUCCUGUUCUUCCUCUCUACCACACCAUUUUGCUGUGGUGUGUAGGGAGCGGAGAACUCGUGCUUGAUCCCUUCCUCUUCAAGGAACUCCUCUACUUGAAGGUUCUUGAAUUCGGUCCCGUUGUCGCUCCUUAUCUUCUUCACCUUGAGCUCAAACUCGUUUUGAGCUCUCCUUAGGAAGCGCUUGAGGGUUCCUUGGGUCUCAGACUUAUCCUGCAAAAAGAAUACCCAAGUGAAGCGGGAAAAGUCAUCAACAAUAACUAGACCAUACUUACUUCCUCCUAUGCUCAGAUAGGCGACGGGUCCGAAGAGAUCCAUAUGCAGCAGCUCCAGGGGUCUUGAAGUGGUCAUCACAUUCUUGCUGUGAUGCGCUCCUCCCACUUGUUUACCUGCUUGACAAGCUGCACAAGGUCUAUCUUUUUCGAAUUGAACGUUAGUCAAACCUAUCACAUGUUCUCCCUUUAGAAGCUUGUGAAGGUUCUUCAUCCCCACAUGUGCUAAGCGGCGAUGCCACAGCCAGCCCAUGCUAGUCUUAGCUAUUAAGCAUGCAUCUAGACCGGCCUCUUCUUUUGCAAAAUCAACUAAAUAAAGUUUGCCGUCUAAUACACCCUUAAAAGCUAGUGAGCCAUCACUUCUUCUAAAGACAGACACAUCUACAUUUGUAAAUAGACAGUUAUACCCCAUGUUGCAUAAUUGACUAACAGAUAGCAAAUUAUAUCCAAGAGACUCUACUAAAAACACAUUAGAGAUGGAGUGCUCAUUAGAAAUUGCAAUUUUGCCUAACCCUUUUACCUUGCCUUGAUUCCCAUCACCGAAUAUAAUUGAAUCUUGGGAAUCCUUAUUCUUGACGUAGGAGGUGAACAUCUUCUUCUCCCCCGUCAUAUGGUUUGUGCAUCCGCUAUCGAUAAUCCAGCUUGAACCCCCGGAUGCAUAAACCUGCAAGGCAAAUUUAGGCUUGGGACUUAGGUACCCAACUCUUGUUGGGUCCUAUAAGGUUAGUCACAAUUUCCUUAGGGACCCAAAUGCAAGUUUUAUCACCCUUGCAUUUUGCCCCUAACUUCCUAGCAAUUACCUUUCUAUCCUUUCUACAAAUUGCAAAGGAAGCAUUCAAAGCAUGAUAUAUUGUAGAAGGCUCAUUAACUAUCCUAGGAAUAUUAACAACAUUUCUCCUAGGCAUAUUAUGAACAACAUCCCUUCUAUCAACAUUUCUAUCAUGCACAUAUGAAGAACUAGAAGCAAACAUAGCAUGAGAAAAAUCAUCGUACACAUUAUAACCCCUAUAAGCGUUUCUAGUUUGUCUCCUAUCAUGAUACAAAAAGGCAUGGUUCUUUUUAGCACUAGUAGCCAUAGGGGCCUUCCCUUUCUCCUUAGCGGGAAUGGGAUCCUUAUGGCUUGUUAAGUUCUUGGCUUCCCUCUUGAAGCCAAGUCCAUCCUUAAUUGAGGGGUGUCUACCGAUCGUGUAGGCAUCCCUUGCAAAUUUUAGUUUAUCAAAUUCAUUCUUGCUAGUCUUAAGUUGGGCAUUAAGACUAGCCAAUUCCUCAGUUAAUUUGGAAAUUGAAACUAAAUGAUCACUACAAGCAUCAACAUCGAAAUCUUUACACCUAGUGCAAAUCUCAACAUGUUCUACACAAGAAUUAGAUUUACUAGCUCCUUCUAGUUUAGCAUUUAAGUCAUCAUUAACACUCUUUAAAGUAGCAAUGGUUUCAUGACAAGAAGAUAGUUCACUAGAAAGCAAUUCAUUUCUUUUAACUUCUAAAGCAUAAGAUUUUUGUGCCUCUACAAAUUUGUCAUGCUCUUCAUACAAAAGGUCCUCUUGUUUUUCUAAGAGUCUAUCUUUUUCAUUCAAGGCAUCAAUCAAUUCAUUAAUUUUAUCUACUUUAGUUCUAUCCAAUCCCUUGAACAAACUAGAGUAAUCUAUUUCAUCAUCACUAGACUCAUCAUCACUGGAAGAAUCAUAAGUGACAUUGUUUUGAUUACAUACCUUCUUCUCCCUUGCCAUAAGGCAUGUGUGACGCUCGUUGGGGAAGAGGGAUGACUUGUUGAAGGCAGUGGCGGCGAGUCCUUCAUUGUCGGAGUCGGAGGAGGAGCAAUCCGAAUCCCACUCCUUUCCGAUAUGUGCCUCGCCCUUGGUCUUCUUGUAAUGCUUCUUCUUUUCCCUCUUGCUCCCGUGUUCCUGGUCACUAUCAUUGUCGGGACAGUUAGCAAUAAAAUGACCAAGCUUACCGCAUUUUAAGCAUGAUCGCUUUCCCUUGGUCUUAGUCUUGCUUGACUGUCCCUUGCGACCCUUUAGUGCCGUCUUGAAUCUUUUGAUGAUGAGGGCCAUCUCUUCAUCAUUAAGACCGGCCGCCUCAAUUUGCGCCACCUUGCUGGGUAGCGCCUCCUUGCUCCUUGUUGCCUUGAGAGCAAUGGGUUGAGGCUCAUGGAUUGGGCCAUUCAACGCGUCGUCCACGUACCUCGCCUCCUUGAUCAUCAUUCGCCCGCUUACAAAUUUUCCAAGAAUUUCUUCGGGCGACAUCUUGAUGUACCUAGGAUUUUCACGAAUAUUGUUCACCAAGUGAGGAUCAAGAACGGUAAAUGACCUUAGCAUUAGGCGGACGACGUUGUGAUCCGUCCAUCGCGUGCUUCCGUAGCUCCUUAUUUUGUUGAUAAGGAUCUUGAGCCGGUUGUAAGUUUGUGUCGGCUCCUUGCCCCUUAUCAUUGCGAAUCGUCCUAGCUCGCCCUCCACCAACUCCAUCUUGGUGAGUAAGGUGACAUCAUUCCCCUCAUGAGAGAUCUUGAGGAUGUCCCAAAUCUGCUUGGCAUUGUCCAAGCCGCUCACCUUGUGAUACUCGUCCCUGCACAAAGAGGCUAGCAACACAGUAGUAGCUUGUGCAUUUUUAUGGAUCUGUUCAUUAAUAAACGAAGGGCUAUCCGAGCUAUCAAAUUUCAUUCCACUUUCCACAAUCUCCCAAAUGCUUGGAUGGAGAGAAAAUAGGUGAGUACGCAUUUUGUGACUCCAAAAUCCGUAGUCCUCUCCAUCAAAGUGAGGAGGCUUGCCAAGUGGAAUGGGGAGCAAAUGAGCAUUUGAGCUAUGCGGAAUGCGCGAAUAAUCAAAAGAAAAGUUUGAGUUAACCGUCUUUUGUUUGUCAUAGUCGUUGUCGUCGUUGUCCUUUUGGGAAGAGGAAGAUUCGUCGCUGUCGUCGUAGUAGACGAUCUCCUUGAUGCGCCUUGUCUUCUUCUUCUUCCCUUCCUUCCAUCUAUGGCCCGAGCCGGAGUCGGUAGGCUUGUCAUCUUUGGGCUCGUUGACGAAGGACUCCUUCUCCUUAUCGUUGAUCACGAUUCCCUUCCCCUUAGGAUCCAUCUCUUCGGGCGGUUAGUCCCUUUCUUGAAGAGAACGGCUUUGAUACCAAUUGAGAACACCUAGAGGGGGGGUGAAUAGGUGAUCCUGUAAAACUUAAACUUAUAGCCACAAAAAAACUUGUUAAGUGUUAGCACAAUAAUCGCCAAGUGGCUAGAGAGGAGUCUCAACAAAACACAAUACCACAAGAGAUCAAACACAGAGAUGACACAGUGGUUUAUCCCGUGGUUCGGCCAAGACCAACGCUUGCCUACUCCACGUUGUGGCGUCCCAACGGACGAGGGUUGCAAUCAACCCCUCUCAAGCGGUCCAAAGACCAACUUGAAUACCACGGUGUUUUGCUUUGCCUUUCAAUAUCCCGUUUGCGAGGAAUCUCCACAACUUGGAGUCUCUCGCCCUUACACUUGAAAUUCACAAAGAAGUACGGAGUAAGGGAGGGAAGCAACACACACAAAUCCACAGCAAAAUGCGCACACACACGGCCAAGAAUCGAGCUCAAAAGACUAUCUCAAAGUUCUCACUAGAACGGAGCUCGAAUCACUGAGAAUGACAAACGAAUGCGCAGAGACUGAGUGUGGAUGAUCAAGAAUGUUCUAAGGUUGCUUGGUGUACUCCUCCAUGCGCCUAGGGGUCCCUUUUAUAGCCCCAAGGCAGCUAGGAGCCGUUGAGAGCAAAUCUGGAAGGCCAAUCUUGCCUUCUGUCGUCGGGUGCACCGGACAGUCCGUUGCACACCGGACACUGUCCGGUGCCCGAUUUCUUUCCUUAAACGGCACAGCCGACCGUUGCCGACCGUUGGAGAUCUGGGAGCCGAUGGCGCACCGGACAUGUCUGGUGCACACCGGACAGUCCGGUGCCCCCUUCCGACCGUUGGCCAGGCCACGUGUCGUGCACAGAUUCCGCGGCCGACCAUUGGCUCACCGGACAGUCCGGUGAAUUUUAGCCGUACGCCGUCGGCAAAUUCCCGAGAGCGGCCUCUUCGCCCGAGGCAGCCUGGCGCACCGGACACUGUCCGGUGCACCACCGGACAGUCCGGUGCCCCAGACCGAGACAACCUUUUGGCUGUACACAGCCAACUCUUCUCUUCUUUCUUCUUUCUGUUUCUAUCACUUAGACAAGUGUAUUAGUAUACAAAACCAAUGUACUAAGGCUUAGAAACAUACCUUUACUCAUGAUUUGCACUUUGUUCAUCCAUGGUCAUAAAUUCACAUUUAAGCACUUGUGUUGGCACUCAAUCACCAAAAUACUUAGAAAUGGCCCAAGGGCACAUUUCCCUUUCAAGAAUUCCCACUGCUGAUCUGCUAAGCCGACUGGAUAUGAUCCUGAGGGGCAGAGUUUCGAAUGCUGGUGCUCCUGUUGCUUAUUCUGCCUGGAACCUGCCAUCAGAUAGAUCCUUUUUCAAGUUUGUGUCUAAUCCUCCUGCCCGUGAUGGUGGUUUGGGUCUUAGAGUGUGACCCUCCCCUGAGGACAUUGAAGCUUUAAUUGCCCCACUCCGGAGUCUCCCAAAGGGUGAGAGACAGACUCAUUUCGAGAUGUCAGCUAGCACGGACGACGAGGAGAUGGAUGCUAUGCUCAACUUGUUGGCUGGGGAGUCAUCUGAGUUGACACGUGCCGAGCCAAUGGCUAUCACAGACGGGCAAGAACUUGUUGGAAUGGAGACAAUCCGGAAACUCGAAGAGGUCCGUCCAAAGCGUCCACGCCGAGUGAGUCGACCUAUGCAUCCAUUGAAGAGAAAAGGAAGAAGAGGCAGCUUCGGCGACUGUCGAGCUUGGAUCAUUGGCGCGGGCCCUUCGGCGCCAAUUUGUGAUAAAGUGCCAGCAGAGGUUCUUCCUGAGGUUGAUCCCAAUGGUUGCGCCCAUGCUGAAGUUGAUCCCAAUGGGUGUGACCGUUUUGAAGUUGAACCCAAUGGGUGUGACCGUCUUGCAGUUGAUCCCAAUGGGUGUGACCGUGCACCGGCUGUUGUCUGUAUAUUUGUUGAAGAUGAAGAAGAAGUCCCGCUGAUUCGCAAGAACAGCCGGCAUUACAGAGGUAGUAAGGGGGAUAGUGACAUUCCUUCUCCAGCUCUGUCAGCUCUUGUCAGCCUUCAGGAACUGUCAAUAUCAGAUUUUGACCAGGCCCUUGAGGAGGUCGUCCCUGAGGACAUGCUAUCAGAGCCGACUACUGAUGACGUGAUGGCUAUUUGUUCGGACAUUUUCUAGCUGCAGGAUUGGAGGUAUCCCGAGCAGUGUCUCGUGCGUCGUCGACUUUGGAAGGCAGUCUUCAAUGCCGAGGCGUUGGUCCGGAUUGCCCGACUCACAUGGAGGUGACAGAGGAUCGUUCAGCCUUAGAGGUGGCUGCUAUAGAAGACCCAGCCCCCGAGGGUGUUCAGGUGAGCUCUCCUUCCCACACCUCCAUGGAUGUCCAUGUCGGGUUGUCUCCGCCACGAUCGGAUGGAGCGAUGGCGAUGCAUGCUUCUUCGGCUUCGAGCAAACAAGUCACCUUGGAGGUCGGCGAGUCGGAUGCAAGAAGUCUGGUAUCCGCUGGUGAGGCUGAGCUCACCCCUGACAACGUUCUUCAAAUUGUUCUGGUUGAUCUUCCUUCGUCGAGCUAUGAUGCAGCUCCCCCUGACUUAGGGUUACCAUCAUUCCUCUCCAAUCUCUAGGUGAGUCAGCUCUUGCAUUUUAUCAUUCCUCUUGGUAAAUUAUCUUUCCUAUACUCAUUUGUCUUCAAUCACAUGCUUUGGUUGACGGAAUGUCUGCUCAGUUGAGGUCACAUGGUGCCACUGUCCCAGAAGGAGCUCUGUCUCUAAUGCAGUGGAACCCAUUGCUGCUUCAGAAACAGAUUGCUGACUUGAAGGCGUCAAACGUUGGUUAGUAACUUCGUUUCUUCCUUAGCUGUUUCGAUUGAUCAACUUGUUUUUAACCAUGUAUCCCUCUUCUGCUGCCUUGUCAGAUAUGGCUCGGCUGUGCUCCGAGCUUGAGGAAAAACAUCUUCAAAGUCAAGCCGACUCAACCCGACGGUACUCUGAUCUUGAGGAGAGGUAUUCUCAAGGUCAAACCGACUUGGCUCGGGUUUCUGCUUCUCUAGACGAUGCACGUUCUUUGAAUUCUUCUCUCAAUGCUUAGCUUAACUCUGAAAGGGCAGCACAUGAGGUAAACUUUCUUAGUUGGCUUUGUCGUGCUUGCUGUUUACUGGAUGCUGAAAGUUGAUUCUUGUUCGUAGGAGGAGAAACGAGCGCUCGCAGCUUCUCGUGAUAAUCUAGACAGGUUAUAUCGUGAUGCCAGCAAUUCCUUAACCAUUUUGGAGAGGAGUCAUCGCUUCACUAUGUCAGAUCUGGAUCAUCAUCGUCGCAAGCUGCAAGUGUCCCAAGAUGAGGUCCUGCGGCUUAGACAGUUGGUGUCAAGCAAGGAUUCCAUCAUCAAAGAUCUACGCGCCUCCAAGAAGUUAGUCGCCCAGGAGCUAGAGGCCGCUCGACUGGCUACCAAAGUUUUAGAGGACAAUUGCACCAUUCUGAAGGCUCAACGCGACAAGGCUAUGGACAAAGCCAUUCGCGCGGGGCGGAUCUUGAUGAGGAGGCCCAGCAUAGUGGUUCCUGAUGACAUUGUUGCCGACGUUAAGGCUGCCCCUGAUGCUUCGAGUCGACCUUCUUCUUCACUGGCUCCUGUGGAAAACAUUGCCAACUGAGAUGUUUUGAUGCGGUGACAUCCUGUGAAAUACUGAGUGUACUAUGAAUUCUAUGUGUUUGUGAUGGUUGUAUUUGAAUAUUUUGUGGAUAGGGCACUAGAACGUGUCCUUGGUGCUGACAAUUAUAAUCUCUUGUUCUCCUGAAGUACCGAUUGUUUCUGUUGUCAGGGUAUAACAGUCAUCCUGAACAAUUAUGAAAGUAAAUGUAGCAUGCUGGUUUUGGAACUUUCCCUGGCUUGUGCCAAUCGCUUGGCUGGUUAGGCAUAGUGGUCGCCUUAGGAUAGGUAGAUGUAUCGUGCUGACUUUUAAAUCAUUGCUGGCUUUUGAGUUGAUUGCCCUGCUAGUAGGGUAUAGUGGUUCCCCUAAACCGAGUCAGCGUGAACAUGCAACAUCAUCUUAGGUCAUUGCCGACCUAAGGUGACUGCUCCGCUAGUAGGGCGUAGUGGUCACCCUAGGUCAAGUAAGCGCGAGCAUGUUACACCAUCUUAAGUUGUCGCCGACUUAAGUCGAUUGUCCUAUUAGUAGGGUAUAGUGGUCACCCUAAGUCGAGUAAGAGCGAGCAUGUUGCACCGCCUUAAGUCAUCGCUGACUUAAGCCGAUUGCUCCGUUAGUAGGGUAUAGUGGUCACCCUAAGUCGAGUAAGAGCGAGCACGUUGCACCGUCUUAAGUCGUCGUCGACUUAAGCCGAUUGCUCCGUUAGUAGGGUAUAGUGGUCACCCUAAGUCGAGUAAGCACGAGCAUGUUGCACCAUCUUAAGUCGUCGCCGACUUAAGCCGAUUGCUCUGUUAGUAGGGUAUAGUGGUCACCCUAAGUCGAGUAAGCGCGAGCAUGUUGCACCAUCUUAAUUCGUCGCCUACUUAAGCCGAUUGCUUCGUUAGUAGGGUAUAGUGGUCACCCUAAGUCGAGUAUGCGCGAGCAUGUUGCACCGUCUUAAGUCAUCGCCGACUUAAACUGAUUGCUCCGUUAGUAGGGUAUAGUGGUCACCCUAAGUCGAGUAAGUGUGUUGAUUCCAAGUCCAAUCGAAUCGAAGUCAAGUGAUAGUUAACAGUUUGAAUGUCCUUGAAAAUGAAAACUUUAUUGAUGAUGUAUUCUUCCAUUAUAGAGUACAAUGUUGCUCCGAUAGCUUUCGAGGCCUUGCUAAGGGUAAAACUUUCUAAGAUGCUCUAUGCUCCAUUAAUUCCCCACUUCCGUACCAUCCAUUUGUGUAAGCCGAUAUGAUCCUGGCCGAGUGACCUUCGAUACAAUGAAUGGCCCUUCCCAUAGUGGUGACAACUUGUGCCGUCCUUCCCCCGUUAGAAUUCGGCGAAGUCCCAAGUCUCUCACUACAAAGGAUCGAUGUUGUAUAGCUUUAUCAUGAUAGCGCCUCAAGGUCUGCUGGUAUCUGGCUGACUGAAUUACUGUGUUCAAUCACUCUUCCUCCAGUACAUCAAUAUCCUCUAGAGCCUGGUAGCUUCUCCUUUAGCUAUGCUUUCGAAGACCAGCCUUGACGCCCCGAACUUGAGGUCGGCGGGUAGCACCGCUUCCGAACCAUAGACCAUGAAGAACAGGGUAUUUCCAUGCAGGGCUCGACUAGGUUGAGUUCUCAAGCCCCAAACCACAUAGGGCAAUUCUCGAACCACUGUUGGGGACUUGUUCUCAAGUGCUAUGAAUUAAGAACAAGGCAACAUAAAAUGUUAAAUGUUAACGUCCUUCGUCCAUGAAGCAUUAUUCCCUUGAGGAUAAUGGGCCUUGGACGAAGGUUGAUGAGAGUAAAAUUAUGAAGCUUAAGACUUCGUAAUUAAAUUUCAAUACAUAUUGUGAGAUAACAUAAAAUGAAAGGUAUAAAGAAGGUAAAUAAAUCAUAGACGAGUUAUGUUAUAUUUACUUAAGAUAUUGAAUCAUAGAAUACAAUAAUACCUCUACCUUGGCAAAGGUUGGAUUCCGAAAGAUGCGAUUCCAAUUACCAGAAUGCGUGAACAGUAAAGGAAUACUGUUCACUAUUUAUAGGCACAGGACGCAGCCUGUGAGAAAUUACAAGUAUGCCCCUUAUGAAAGCUUACAACAUUGACUCAGACCUUUAUGGACUAAAAGGUCAUUCUAUUUUUAAGUCGGUUUGUAAUACCGAAGCUUCACGAAGAGGAACCUUCGGCCAUCUUAUACAAACAGCUUCAGCCGAGGACCGCUUCUUCCUGUAAGACCUUCAGCGACGAAGCAUAGGCCCAACAAAAGCCCCUUUCGCGGUGCUAGAUCGUUUUUCGUAACGAGCUUGAUCCGUGAAAAAAGUCUCUUAGGCUUCGGGGAGCCGAAGGUCCAAAAAACACCUUCCCUGAGCUCGUUGUCGAGAAACGAUUUAAUUUCCCAGCGUGUAGCGGUCCCACGUUGCAGAGUUACUGUUUGGUCUCUGCGGUCCACCGCACAGCGAGUGCAAGCGGGUUUCCGCCUGGUGUAAAAAUCCUGGCGCUUCGCCUUCUUUCCUGCAGUACUAUAUAAACAGAUGAGUAGGUGUGAAGUUACCACAGCAUUCAUUGCUAUUUGCACUGUUCUGCUGCCAACAUUUUUAACCAUCGCCGAAGCUUGUCUGUCGGAAUCAAACGAAGCUCCAGUUUGAGGCCUGCUUCGUCAGAAAAAACUUCGGAAGAAGAAAGUGUUAAAUUUCCACAUAUUCAUAAUUAAAUGGCCAGAGUGCGUUCUACCGCCAGGGUUGAGCGUGAGGGGGGCGAAACUGAAGCUUUGGAGACUGUUCCCAUCUCCGAAGCCAUGCAGCGAUCCGGGCUGGUGACUUCGGAAAAGAUCCCUAGUGAUGAUGCAGAACAAGCAGAACAAGCAAUUGCUGAAGUAGAAGAAGAUAUUGAGGAAACUGAUCCCGAAGAUGAUUAUCGCAUUGCCAUGCCAAGCAAGCCCAGCCACUUGGACUUCGGGAAAUCUACUGUUUCGAAGGCUAAUAUGUCCAAGAUGGUAAAGUCAGGCUUUUUUACUGAAGACCAGAAGAAGCUAUUACGCUUCGGGGGAGAAGAGACUACCCCAAAGCCGGAGAAGGAUGAAAUUGUUAUUUUCAAGAGCUUCCUAAAGGCUGGAUUAAGAUUCCCCCUACAUGGGAUUAUUGCAGAGGUACUAAAAAGGUUCGGUAUCUAUUUUCACCAGCUGACCCCUAACGCUAUCGUUAGGCUUAGUGUUUAUAUCUGGGCACUCCGAAGCCAAGCGGUGGAACCGUUUGCGGACAGCUUUUGCCGAGUUCACGAACUGCACUAUCAGACGAAGGCUAGAAAGGAUGGAUUACAUGACAAUUUUGGUUGCUAUAAUUUUGCUUAUCGAAAAACUACGAAGUUUCCUGUGAUCAGCUACCGAAGCAAAUGGGCAGCAGGGUGGAAAUCGGAGCGGUUCUAUGUCAAGGUUGAUGAUGAUAAGGAAAAGCUUGUGCAAAGUCCACUUGAACUAAUCUUCGGAGAAACCCGCCCCCACUGCAACAUGACACCAGAGGGUCCAACUCAAAAAGCAAUGUAUGAAUUCAAAAUAAUUGCAGAGCAUAUCAGUACAAGGGACCUGGUCCAGGAGUUUUUGGCUUUCAAGGUUUUUCCUAGUGUAAGAGAGUGGGAAAUGCCGAAGCUGAAGGGGGAGAAAAAAGAAGGUGAACUCGUGCGCUUACCUUACUACUUCAAGUUUAAGAAAUACUUUAAAACACCUUGCCAAGAGUGGCUGGAUACAAUUGAAGUGAUGUGCAAUGAAAUACUUGGCAAUUAUUCUAAAAAAGAAGAUCAGUUGAUGACCGCAGCCUUCGGCACCCGUCCGAAGCGAAGACUAAACCGAGUGCUGGACGCCCUGGGUUUCGAAUACCCUGAUUAUGUAAAUCUGAACAAAGGUGCCGGAGGCCAAAAAAGGAAAAAGAUAACUGAAGCCUUAAAUGAAGAUGAAAAAGAAUUACCAAAGAAGAAAAUUCCGAAGAGGAAGAAAGCGUCUUCUCCGAAGCGUAAAAUAUCCGACGAAGAAACCCCCGCAUCACCCUCUGCCGCUGACGUUGAGGAAAUUCUGAAGGUAAUGACUGAAUCCUUACCUGCGAAGCUAAGUCCACUGGGGCCCCAUCUGACAAAGUUUUUUCAGAAGGACAAGGAGCCCGAAAAAUCGAAGAAAAUAAUUAAAGCAAAGAGACAAAGAAUUAUCACUGUGACAGAAGUAAUUGACAAGACACCGCCAAGAGCUUCAGCUCAGAAAGCACCAGCGACUGCGGAAAGGACAGAUAUUGAAAUUGCACCUUCGGAGGUCGCAGCUGCCGAAGCUGCUUCAGCUGAAGGUUUGAACCUGGAGAGCACAAUUGAACACAUUGACAAAAUACUGCUAGACAUGGCUGCAGAAGAAGCUACCACCGCCGCCGAAGAGGCCGCGACCGCAGCGUCGGAGAAAGGGAAAGAAAUUGCUGAUGAAGCUUCAGAAAACGAAGCCUUCAUUUUCCAGAAUUUAGUUGGGGAAAAACUAUCAAAAGCUGAGAUAGAAGAGCUUAGAGAGUAUGCCAAAUCCUGCGGAUACAAACCUGGAGCACUCCUCUUCGGAGGCGUUGAUGAUGAAAAAUUAGAUUGUAUUCGAGAUCAAACCGGAGCCAAAGUUAUCGGUACUCUGUCCAAGAGUAUCGGCUUUCCGAAGCUAGAAACAGACAUCAGCCGCUACCGACGACAACAUAUCGUUGGUAGUUUAUUUUAUUCCAACUUCAAGGUGAACUACUUUUCCCUUAACUUUUAUUGUUUCUAAUGAUGAAAACAUGUCUGACGAAGGUUGUUUUCGUGCAGAGUAUGUUGUUGAGCAAAGCCUUGCAAAUGCAGCAAGAUUUUGAAGAUAAGAAGCACGAAGUUAUAAUUGAAAAUUUGGAAAGCAGAAUAAAGGAGCAAUCAGAUGCUUUCGAGAAAAAGAACUUUGAGCUCCAGGCAACCGAAGGUUUAUUGGCGGAAGCUGAAGCAAAAAUAACAGAACUGAACACGAAGCUUCUCCGCCAGUCUGAGCAGUUCGAACGAGAAAAACAAGAUCUUAAUGCAAAACUUGAAGCCGAAGCUCAACAAAAUUCAGAUUUGAGAAAACUAUUGACGAGCCUUCAAGAAAAAUGUUUGGAAUUUAGCAACAAAUGCAUUCAACGAUUAAGAAAGAUUUUUCACUCAGUUGGAGCCAGCAGUGAAAAAUUCACCCCCUCAGCUGAAGAUCUACCGAAAACCUUCGAACAUAUUGAGGGUGAGAUUGACGAGCUCGACGAAGUCAUAGCUGGGCAUGGUGACUUCUGUGCCUGGGUGGCUUCUCGGGGCACCGCUGCAGCUUUCCUGAAAGCUGGUUGUGAUCAUGGAAAGAUUGUCAAUAGGCCAAAUUUCACUUUAUCACCAUCAAUCCUAGAUGACAUUACUGAUCUCGCCCGAAGUAUCUCUAAUAGAUUUGUAAAAAUGAUAUGGACAAAAGGUGGGCGAGAAAAGGCUGGAGACGAAGCUCAUAGCCACCUUGAACCAGUAAGAAACCAUACCUUGUGCUUACCUUUUCCUGCAAGCUCGAUUUUGACUUACAACGACCUUAUUCAUGUAGGAUGACGAAGCCGAAGCCGAUGAUUAAAAAAUGACGCCGAAGCUGAAGCUCCUUGGAGAUUAGAUAGUAGACUGUAGACAGUACUUGAGAAACUUUUGAGAUAACUUUUGUAAAUGUAACUAAAACUUGUCUUUGAUGAAUUCUGUUCAUACCUUGUGAUAUAUCCUUAUCCUUCCAUUGAUGUACGAGAAAUGCUUUGAUGUGAACGAAAUUUUUUCUUUUUUGAGCCGAAGGCGAAAAAACACCUUCCCUUCUUUUCGUACACAGCGAAGCAUAGAAAACAACAUUUUCCUCCUUUCCGAAGCUCCCCUUUUUGUACACGAAGCUCUUUCUUCCCCCCUUUUUUUUCUUUUUGCCGAAGCAACCAUUUAUGCCAUGAGGAUGAUUAUCCUAUAUAUGCCUGGAUGAAUGUUUAUGAAUGCAAAUGCUAUGAUGUAAUGUGAUGUGCAAAUGAAUGGCCAAACACGUAUCCGAAGCCAUACUCAUAGCCAUUAUUUUCUUAAAAACAAUCACACCUCAGCUCUGCAUUCCCUUAGGAACGACUUUGGAGCUUCUUCGCCUUUACUUUUGGCGGAAUCAGCGUUGACUUUUCGCUGUAAGCUCUGCAUUCCCUUAGGAACGACUUUGGAGCUUCUUCGCCUUUACUUUUGGCGGAAUCAGCGUUGACUUUUCGCUGUAAGCUCUGCAUUCCCUUAGGAACGACUUUGGAGCUUCUUCACUUUUUACUUUUUGGCACUCGAUGGUGCACUCUCAGCUUUUACAUUUACAUUCCUUGGGGGAUUUUGCUCUUAUAGAACUAAAAAAGGAAAUUACAUGUGAUGGCCCCAUUAAAAACCUUUCUCCCCCUUUAGAAAGGAAAAGGGUGCCAUGAGAAAGAAAAAACAUAAAAAAUUACAUCAAGUUACACAUAAUAUCGCCGAAGCUCAUCCGCAUUCCAAGAUCUAGGAAUAUCGUUGCCGUCCAUAUCCUUCAAUCUGUAUGAACCGGGUCUUGACGAAGAUGCUACUAAGAAAGGUCCGUCCCAUUUCAACUGCAGCUUGCCCACUGUUUCUGGGUUGGCCACUCUCCGAAGCACCAAGUGUCCUGGCUCAAUAUUUUUUAGCCGAACCUUUCUAUCUCGCCAUUUGAUUGUUUCGGCUUGAUAUUUAUUGAUGUUCUCCACGGCUUGCAGCCUGAUCCCUUCUAAAGCAUCUUUUUCUACAGAAUAAGCAGCUUCGGAAUCUGAUUCUGCCGAAGCUACUACCCUUAUUGAUCCGGUUUUAGCUUCCUCCGGAGUUAUUGCUUCGUCACCGAAUAACAACUUGAAUGGAGUAAAGCCUGUAGACCUUGAUGUUGUUGUGUUGUGGCUCCACACCACUUUGGUUAACUGAUCUGGCCACUUUCCCCUGGGUUGAUUGAAGAUUAACUUCAUUAUUCCUGUCAUUAUAAUGUCGUUGGCUCUUUCAACGAGUCCGUUUGACUCCGGAUGCCUGACUGAAGCAAAAUGGAUCUUCGUACCAAUUUGGUCACAGAAAUCCCUGAAAGCUUCAGAGUCAAACUGUGUUCCAUUAUCCACAGUGAUAGCCUUUGGCACCCCGAAACGACAAACAAUAUUCUGCUAGAAAAACUUUUGGACGGUGGCCGAAGUUAUUGUGGCUAAAGGCUUUGCCUCAAUCCAUUUAGAAAAAUAUUCCACAGCUACUACAACAUAUCUCAGGUUCCCUUGGGCCGGUGGUAACGGACCUAACAAGUCAAGGCCCCACCUUUGCAAUGGCCAAGUGGGUUGUAUGAGCUGUGUUAAGGACGAAGGUUGUUUUUGAUCUCUUGCACAUUUCUGACAACCUUCGCACUUUUGAACUAAUUCCGCUGCAUCCGAAGCUGCCUUCGGCCAAUAAAACCCUUGGCGAAAUUUUUUUCCAAGUAACGGCCUAGAUCCAAUGUGAGAUCCACACAGGCCUGCAUGUAUUUCUUUCAUUAACUCUAUACCUUCGGUUCUAGAUAAACACUUGAGUAGCGGAGCACAAACUCCAUGCUUGUACAACUCCCCUUCUAUCAUGACAUAUGGACGAGCUCUUGCCUCUAUCCUCCUGUUAUAAGCUUCGUCAUCUGAAAGGAAUUUACCCUGAAGAUAAGAGAUGAUCUCAGUUCUCCAAUCUUCGCUAUAAACAGGAGAUAUAUUGAGGACUGCUCUUUCAAGAAGUUCCACCGAAGGUGCUUUUAUUGUUUCGAAGAACACAUCCGAAGGUAAGGGCAGCCCCUGUGCUGCUGACUUAGCUAGCAAAUCAGCAUGCUCAUUUUGUCCUCGAGGGAUAUUUUUGACAGAAAAUCCCUCGAAGGAAGCUUCAACUCUUCGAACCAUAUCCAGAUACUUUUCAAGCUUCGGAUCUUUAGCCUUGCAACUCUUGUCGAUAUGACCCGAAACAACUUGGGAAUCAGUUUUAAGAAUGGCUCUUCUGAUUCCCAUUGCUUUUAGCUUCCGAAGACCCAGAAGCAGGGCUUCAUACUCGGCAAUGUUGUUUGUGCAACUAAAAUCAAGCUUUGCCGCAUAACAAGUUUUAACUUUGGAAGGUGAAACUAACACAGCAGCCGCUCCUGCUCCGAAGGUUCCCCAGGACCCAUCGCAAAACACUGUCCAUGCUUCGGCGUCUUUAUUUGUUUCUUCCUCCUGAGCCCCUGGCGUCCAGUCAGCAAUGAAGUCUGCUAACGCCUGGGACUGAAUCGAAGAUCUAUGAACAUAUUCAAUACAAAAUUCAUUGAGCUCUGCAGCCCAUUUUCCAAUCCUUCCAGUAGCUUCUCGGUUCCUCAUAAUAUCCUUCAGAGGUUGUGAAGAAGGAACAAUUAUGUUGUAAGCUUGAAAAUAGUGCCGAAGCUUCCUGGAUGCCAUCAAAACAGCAUAUAACACCUUCUCUAAUUCUGUGUAGUUUUUCUUUGAUAUACUAAGAACUUCAGAUACAAAAUAUACUGGGACCUGCUUCCUGACUUGGCCAUCAAGCUUCUCCUGGACAAGUGCUGCACUUACCGCUGAGUGCGAAGCUGCCACAUAUAAUAAUAAAGGAGCCCCUGGCGUAGGUGGAGUUAGUGCUGUUAAAUCUAUCAAAUACUGCUUUAGCUCUUCGAAGGCCUUCUGCUGGAUUGGUCCCCAUUGAAAGACUUCGACUGACUUCAGCACUUCGAAGAAUGGUAAGUUUCUCUCUGCUGAUCUGGAUAUGAAUCUAUUGAGAGAUGUCAACCUUCCUGUCAAUCUUUGAGCCCCCUUUUUUGUAGUUGGUGGCUCCAUCCGAAGUAUAGCUUCAAUCUUACUUGGAUUAGCUUCAAUUCACUUUGUUGAAACCAAGCAUCCUAGAAAUUUCCCCUUCUUUACUCCGAAGACGCAUUUUUCUGGAUUCAACUUUAAGCCAGCUUGUCUGAAACUGGCGAAGGUCUCCUGCAGGUCAGCAAUAUGAUUCUCCUGCUUCGUGCUUUUUACAAUGAUGUCAUCAACAUAAGUUAGCACAUUUCUGCCUAUCUGGGACUGGAGAACCUUCGCAGUCAUUCUGCUGAAACUUCCUCCAGCGUUUUUGAGCCCCUCAGGCAUCCGAAGAUAACAAUAUGUGCCGCUUGGAGUUAUGAAGCUAGUCUUCGGCUCAUCUUCCUUCUUCAUCCAGAUUUGAUGAUAGCCUGAAUAACAGUCUAACAGACUCAUAAGCUCUGAAGAGGCUGCUGCAUCAACUAAAGAGUCUAUCCUUGGCAAUGGGAAUUCAUCCUUCGGACAAGCCUUGUUAAGAUCUGUAAAAUCGAUACACAUUCGCCACUUGCCAUUGGCCUUUCUUACCAUAACAGUGUUAGCUAGCCAUUCUGGGUACUUUACUUCUCUGAUAACUCCUGCACUGAGGAGUCUUUUAACUUCGUUGCGAGCACCUUCGGCCUUAUCAUCUGACAUUUUCCGAAGCCUUUGCUUUCUGGGUCUGAAGGAUGGAUCGACAUUGAGCGAAUGCUCAAUGACAUCCCUAUUAACUCCGCAGAGAUCAUUGGCUGACCAUGCAAAAACAUCUUUGUUGUUGAACAAAAACCUUAUCAAGGUUUUCUCUUGUUCUUCGGAUAACUGAGAGCCCAACAGCACCUUCUGCUCUGUUAUAUCCUCACAUAAGAGCAUGGGCUUCGGCUGAUCUGCUGAAGCUGCCUUCUCCCUUCUGAAUUUGUAUUGUUCACAAGCUUCAGCUCCAUCUAUGUUAUGGAUUGCUUUUGAAUCAGUCCAGUUUCCUUCGGCCCUUCUGGCAGCUUCCUGGCUUCCAUGAAUAGCGAUGGGUCCUUGAUUCGAAGGUAUCUUCAUGCAAAGAUAGGCAGGGUGAAGAAUUGCUUCAAAAGCAUUGAGGGUGCCACGACCAAUAAUUGCAUUGUAAGGGUAUUCCAUGUCAACAAUGUCAAAUACAACUUGCUCAGUUCUAGUGUUGUUGAUGAACCCGAAGGUCACUGACAUGGUAAUCUUGCCCAGUGCUACAAUCUGUCUUCCUCCGAAGCCACAGAGAGGAUGUGUAGCAUCAUGAAUCUUAUCUUCUGGCUCUUGCAUUUGUCUGAAGGCCUUAGCAAAUAUGAUGUCAGCUGCACUGCCUGUGUCAACCAAGACAUUGUGGACCAGAAAUCCUUUGAUAACACAAGAGAUAACCAUGGCAUCGUUGUGUGGGUAAUCCUUAAGCUGAAGGUCCUCUUGGGAGAAGGUAAUAGGAAUGUGAGACCAUCUUGACUUGAUGAAGGGUCCUUGCACCCCAACAUGAUGUACCCUUCUCUGUGCUUCCUUUUUUAGUUUCUUGUUAGCUGGCUCUGAGGACGAGCCACCUAUGAUCGGGAGCACCAGCUUCGGGUUCGAAGCAGCUCCAGCUUGGUCGUUGAACGAAGCCAUCAGCUCAAAAAGUGGAAGUGAGUUCACCGGAGGUGGGCGCCAAUGUUGGGGACUUGUUCUCAAGUGCUAUGAAUUAAGAACAAGGCAACAUAAAAUGUUAAAUGUUAACGUCCUUCGUCCAUGAAGCAUUAUUCCCUUGAGGAUAAUGGGCCUUGGACGAAGGUUGAUGAGAGUAAAAUUACGAAGCUUAAGACUUCGUAAUUAAAUUUCAAUACAUAUUGUGAGAUAACAUAAAAUGAAAGGUAUAAAGAAGGUAAAUAAAUCAUAGACGAGUUAUGUUAUAUUUACUUAAGAUAUUGAAUCAUAGAAUACAAUAAUACCUCUGCCUUGGCAAAGGUUGGAUUCCGAAAGAUGCGAUUCCAAUUACCAGAAUGCGUGAACAGUAAAGGAAUACUGUUCACUAUUUAUAGGCACAGGACGCAGCCUGUGAGAAAUUACAAGUAUGCCCCUUAUGAAAGCUUACAACAUUGACUCAGACCUUUAUGGACUAAAAGGUCAUUCUAUUUUUAAGUCGGUUUGUAAUACCGAAGCUUCACGAAGAGGAACCUUCGGCCAUCUUAUACAAACAGCUUCAGCCGAGGACCGCUUCUUCCUGUAAGACCUUCGGCGACGAAGCAUAGGCCCAACAACCACUUUCCUGCAAACUUUUCAUUUUUGUCAAACACCUUCUUCUUGAGUGCUUCUAGUAUCAUUCCAUUAGCCCUUUCCACCUGACCAUUGGCUCUUGGGUGUGCUACUGAUGCAUACUUGAUCUGGAUACUCCGUUGUUCGCAGAAAUCAAAGAAUUCAGAGCUAGUGAAGUUGGAUCCCAGGUCAGUUAUGAUGCUAUUCGGUAUCCCAAACCUGAAUAUUAUGUCUUGUAUGAACUCCACUAUCUUGGCUGAAGUUAAAGAAGCAAUAGGUUUGUACUCUAUCCAUUUAGUGAAUUUGUCGAUGGUGACCAGCACGUGAGUAUAGCCUCCAUGAGCUUUCUUGAAGGGUCCCAUCAUGUCCAAUCCCCAGCACGCAAAUGGCCAUGUUACAGGUAUGGUCUGCAGCUGCUGUGCUGGUAAAUGUUGUUGCUUUGACAAGAAUUGGCAAGCUUCACAUCUCUGGACUAACUCGGCUGCGUCACUCUUUGCUGUUGGCCAAUAGAAUCCAGACCUGAAAACUUUCCUAACCAGAGUUCUGGAUGCUGCGUGUAUUCCACACUGUCCGGCGUGGAUCUCAUCUAAUAGCUGUUUCCCAGUAGCCGAGGAAAUGCACUUCAUGAGGACUCCUAUCGUACCCCUUUCUAUACAGUGCGCCCCAUAUGAGGGUGUAGUGGGCCGACUGUCUCGUGAUGCAUUCUGCUGCGGCCUUAUCAUCCGGUUCUUCUUCAUUCCUUAUGUACCUGAUGAUACGCUCUCUCCAGUCAUUAGGGUCCGGUUCUGGUUGGCUUAGGGUGUUGCACUCUUCCGCCUGAUCUGAGGGAAUACUUGGGUGUGGCACUUCCUGGACAAAGACUCCAGGUGGGACCUGGGCCCGACUGGAUCCUAGCUUCAACAACGCGUCUGCUGCUGCGUUGCGGUCUCUUUCCACGUGAUGGAAUUCCAAACCUUCAAACUUGUCUUCCAAUUUUCAUACGGUCGUACAGUAUUUGCCCAUGGAGUCAGUCGGGCAAUCCCAAUCUUUAUUUAUCUGGCUUAUGACCACUAGUGAAUCUCCGUAUACCAUCAACCUCUUAAUGCUCAGUGAUAUGGCAAUGUUCAACCCAUGUAUCAGUGCUUCAUAUUCUGCUGCAUUAUUCGAUGUCGGGAAUAACAACUGAAACACGUACUUGAGUUGUUCACCUCUAGGGGCAAUGAAGAGGAUUCCUGCACCUGCUCCCUGCAGUUUCAGCGAGCCAUCGAAAUACAUCCGCCAUACUUCAGUAGCUUCUGGGUUGUUAGGAACUUGUUGCUCGGUCCACUCUGAUACGAAGUCAACUAGUGCUUUAGUCUUCACUGCUGUGCGCUGCCGAAAUUCUAUGUCAUGAGCUUCCAGCUCGCAGACCCACUUGGCUAUUCUUCCAAUGGCUUCUUUGUUGUGAAGGAUAUCCCCUAUUGAGAACCCAGUGAACACUAUGACUUUGUGGUCGUCAAAGUAGUGACGGAGUUUGCGAGCAGUUAGAAGUACUACAUAUAGUAAUUUUUGAACUUGGGGAUACUUCUUCUUAGAGGGCCCCAGAACUUCACUGAUGAAGUAGAGCGGGUGCUGUACUGGAUAUGUGUGUCCUUCCUCUGCCCGCUUGAUUACUAACGCGGUGCUCACCACGUGAGUCGUGCAGGAGAUGUAUAACAACAGAUCUUCUAUCGGCUGAUUUGGUGUGGCUCGGCAUGGCGGCUUCAGUACUGGUGGUGUGGUCAAGAACCUUUUCAAUGCUUCGAGAGCUUCCAGUGCUUCUGCGGUCCACUGGAACUUGUCCACCUUCUUGAGCAAUUUGUAGAAUGGUAAGCCUUUUUCGCCUAGUCUUGAUAUGAACCUGCUCAGGGCUGCCAUGCAUCCAGUAAGUCAUUGCACUUUUUUCUGUGAUCGCGGUGCUUCCAUUCUCAUGAUAGCCUCAAUCUUUUCUGGGUUAGCUUCAAUUCCUUGGUGGCUGACAAUGAAUCCGAGCAACUUCCCUGCUAGUACUCCGAAGACACAUUUUUCUGGAUUGAGCUUCCACCAGUAUCGCCUCAGGCUGUUGAAGACCAGCUGCAAAUCUUCAAUGAAGUUUUCUGAGUUUUCUGUUUUGAUCACCACAUCAUCAACAUAAGCUUCUACCCUCUUGCCCCAGUGAUUGGCUAAGCAUGUCUAAAUAGCUCUCUGGUAAGUCGCUCCUGUGUUCUUGAGACCGAACGGCAUGGAGGUAUAGCAGAAAGCUCCAAACGGGGUAAUGAAUGCAGUUUUUUCCUCAUCUUCUUUUGCUAAGCUGAUCUGAUGGUACCCAGAAUAGCAGUCCAGGAAGGACAGCAUAGAACAUCCAGCGGUCGAAUCAACCACCUGAUCUAUCCUAGGGAGUCCGAAGGGAUCCUUCGGACAGUGUUUAUUGAGAUCUGUAUAGUUGACGCACAUGCGCCAAUCCACUUUAUUCUUUUUGAGUACAAGAACAGGAUUUUCUAGCCACUCAGAAUGCAGUACUUCUCUAAUGAACCCUGCUGCAACUAAGUGAGCUAGCUCGGUGCGAAUAGCUUCUCUCUUGUCAGGCGUGAAACGACACAGUUUUUGUCGGAUCGGCCUUGCUUGGGGAUAAACCUUCAAUUUGUGCUCGACUAGUUCUCUUGGGACUCACGGCAUAUCCGCAGGUUGCCAUGCGAAUACGUCUCAGUUAUCUUGCAGGAACUAGACGAGUGCGCCUUCCUAUUUGUCGUCCAGGCUGGAGCUGAUGACGGCAAUCUUGCGUUCAUCAGCAAACCCAAGGUUGAUUCUUUUCAUCUCCUCAGUUGGCCGCAUAGAGGUCACGGCUUGAGCUUCAUUCGCAGGUAUCGUGAGGUCUUCCUCAGGCUUUGAGUUUGCCUGUGUGGAAGAAGUCGUCGGUGGUUUGGUAGUGAGGGCCGUCUAAAUGGCUGCUCAGAAACAUUCCACGGUGCCUUGGAAGUCAGCACACACCGUGAUGAUCCCUUGCGGUCCUGGCAUCUUCAAUAUCAUGUACGAAUAAUGCGGAAUGGCCAUGAAUUUCGCCAAUCCUGGCCUACCGAUGAUGGCAUUGUAUCCGUAGUCGAAGCUUGCCACCUCAAACCUCAGGAACUCGGUUCUGUAAUUUUCCGGAGUUCCAAAGGUAACAGGCAUGUAGAUGUGUCCAAGCGGGUAUUCUCCUACAGUCGGCACAAUGCCGAAGAAAGGAGUGUCCGACUCAUGGAGCUCUUUGAGUGCAACUCCCAAGCCCAAGAGUGUCCGGGGGAAGGUGACGUUGAUGCUGCUUCUAAUACUUUCUUUACCCUGCUCUCUCGGAUCACCGGAUCGACGAGGAGCGGGUACUUGCCCGGAUGAUCGAAGUUGAGCCAUUGAUCCGCCCGAGUAAAGGUGAUCGGGUGUUCUGACCACCGAUAGGGGGCGGGGACACUGGUGGUUGCCACCAGUAUCUGUCGGUCGUUGAGCUUCUGUUGCCUUUUGUUUUCUUGCGACCCAUGUCCUCUGAAGAUGACGUUGACCUCUCCGUCGACACGCGGAAAUGCUCUACCUCCUCCCUCUUUCUGCUGCUGAGGUCGUCGAGGUUCACCGGGCCCUCCUCGCAGUGGGGGAGGUGGUAGAGGUUGGAAGGGUCGGCCAUUCCCGACAGAAUGCUUGAAGUCUCUGCAGUUCCGCAAGAUGUGGCGCAUAUCCUUGUGAUACGGGCACUGGGCAUCGAGGAUGUCAUCUAGUGUCCGCUCGCCUCCGCGGGGUGCACGAGAGACGGGUGGUCCAGCGGCAUGGACCUCUUCACGAGGCCUCUUCUCCCAGCGCUUGUCGGUCUGCUGGUUUGCGUCACACCGUGGUGCAGAUGGAGCAGGCUUCACUCCCCCAAUGAGGUCCUGAGCCCGUUCGUCGGCAGUGAUGUAGAGGUCCACCUCCCUGAACAGCUGCUCGGAAGUGGUCGGAGCCUUUUGCAGUAUGGCUCGGACGAAGGCCGAGUCAUUGGAUCCCCGGUAGAAGUCCUCGAUCACUGCUGCUUCAGCGACCUCAGGGAUGCGAUUUCUCAUGGUCUGAAACCUCUUGAGGUACGACCAAAGAGUCUCAUCCCCUCGGCGUCUGAUGGAUUUGAGGUCCCAUGGCUGCGCCGGUUUGUCGAAGAGGGAUUGGAAGUUGGCGAUAAAACGCCGACUGAAGUCGCUCCAAUCAUCGAUGCAGUGUCGCGGUAGAUGUCGCAGCCAUUGCAAUGCAUCUUGCCCGAGGACGAUGGGUAAAUACGUAGUCAUUGAAAGGGAAAUGUGCCCUUGGGCCAUUUCUAAGUAUUUUGGUGAUUUAGUGUCCAACACAAGUGCCCAAGUGUUAAAUGGUGGACAAAGUACAAAUCAAGUAUAAAGGUAUGUUUCUAAGACUUAGUAUAUUGUUUUGGAGACUAAUAAAUUAUGUCUAACUGCUGGAAACAGGAAAAAUCAAGUUGGAAUUAAAGAUGGCUUUGUUUAGCCGAAGUCAGCUCAGUCUGGGUGCACCGGACUGUCCGGUGGUGCACCGGACAGUGUCUGGUGCGCCAGGCCGACUCAGGCGAACUUGCUGCUCUCGGGAAAUCGUCGGCGACGUACGGCUAUAAUUCACCGGACUGUCCGGCGUGCACCGGACUGUCCGGUGAGCCAACGGUCGGCCGCGUAAUCCGUGCGCGACGCGUGGCCAAGCCAACGGCUAGAAGGGGGCACCGGACUGUCCGGUGUGCACCGGACAGUGUCUGGUGCGCCAACGGCUCCAAAGCGCCAACGGUCGGCUUCGCCAAAGAAGGAAAGAAAUCCGCACCGGACAGUGUCCGGUGCGCCAGGCGACAGAAGGCAAGAAUUGCCUGCUUGAAAUGCUCUCAACGGCUCCUAGCUGCCUUGGGGCUAUAAAAUGGACCCCUAGGCGCAUGGAGGAGUACACCAAGCAUUCUCUAAGCAUUCCUAAGCACCAAGACUUCGAUUCCGCGUAUUUGAUUCUUUGUGAUAGCAACUAGAGCUCCAUUUGAGUUGUGAACUCGUCGGGUUGUGUUGUGAGCUCUUGUUGUGACUUGUGUGCGUGUUGGUACUCUGAUUUCGUGUCUUGUGUGCAUUGCUCAUCCCUCCCUUACUCUGUGCUUCUUUGUGAACAUCAAAGUGUAAGGGCGAGAGGCUCCAAGUUGUGGAGAUUCCUCGCAAGUGGGAUAUAGUAAAGUGAAAGCAAAACACCGUGGUAUUCAAGUGGGUCUUUGGACCGCUUGAAAGGGGUUGAUUGCAACCCUCAUCCAUUGGGACGCCACAACGUGGAGUAGGCAAGUGUUGGACUUGGCCGAACCACGGGAUAAACCACUGUGCCAUCUCUGUGUUGAUCUCUUUGUGGUUAUCGUGUUGUGCAAGCUCUCCUCUCUAGCCACUUGGCUUAAUUGUGCUAACUCCUAAUCAAGUUUUGUGGAUUAAGUUUCAAGUUUUUACAGGAUCACCUAUUCACCCCCCCCCCCUC